CAUCUUUGGCCCAUAGAUACCCAUUGGAGGGGGAAUCCUCCACUUGGCCGAAAUUCCAUUGAUGAAGAGGAUGCGGCCUUCUUCUCAUCUCUCGUUAUGGCGGUUUCAAUGUUCUGAAAUCAUCACUUGAGCUAGCUCCCGCCACCUUGCUGCCACCUCCAUGGUUUGCUGUCCAACGCUGAUCCUUGAGGUGCAAGCUAGGUCCUUCAUUCCUAAAACACAUAAAAGAACCGAUCUUAGGCAGCAGCAUAUUCUCAUUAAUAUUAAAUGAAGUACCGAGGAACGAAAGUACCUGAUAAUUUAGUUGUCGUGCACGAGCUCUAGUAAUUGGUCCAUGUAUCUCCGGUACUUGAGGUGUAGGUGCUGUAGGGGCUGUGGUUGUAUCAUUAGUUGGGAUGUCCUCAUCAAAUUUGUAGAAACAUGCCUUGUUCUUCUAUCAAAGUUGAUGUUGAAACAUGCUUUACUUUAAAGCCCAACUUGGUGGUUCUUGGUGUAUUGAAUGAUUGGUCCAUAGUGUGUGAUUUUUAAUAAGAUUUGUGCGAGUUUUCUAACCUUGGAGCAUUUUCAUUUAGGACGAAUAUUAAGACAGAUACAAAGACAAUGGAGGUUGUCAUGGAGAUCUUGUUAAUGAAGCAAUCCCCUAUAUUGCGCUAUUUGCGAUUAGGGAGGGGAGUGCGACCUUCAACCUCCAGGACACGGGGACCAGACUAGGGCGUUUGGAGCUAAUUGUGGUGGAAUUUGAAGCGGUCAGUUGUGGGUAAGAAUUUCGGCCCAUGGUAAAUACCUUGAUGACCGGUUGAGGGCAAUGAAGUUUUUGUAGAAGAGUAUCUCGGAAAAGAUGUCGAUGUUUAUUUAAAUCAAGAGGGUAUCUUUAUCUUAUGGCCGUUGGCCAUAGGUAUUAUGGAAAAGGAAGCAUAUUAUUAUUAUCGAUAGCAGUUGUACUUGUUGUAUAGUAUACACGGGAGUGUUUCCUUUAUAUUUGUGAAUUGGAGGGUUAUGCGUGUUGUACAAAUGAAUACUCCCCCCGUCAUGCCGUACCAGUGACCCACAGGGUCCCACUGAUAAGGAACGUGUGGGUCGCGAGUGACGAAGCCCCGCCAGGUUGGCCUCCCAGGAACGAUAGGCCCGGGAAGCCCGCCCCAAGGAGGCGGUCGUUGGCGAAGACAAAGUCAAGGGCCGGAGCAGGAGAAGCACCUGCUUCGGUGCGUACCCGUGAACUCUGGUCCCGGGAAAUGAAAGGAACACUGCCCCGGCAACUGGCCGGGGACGCUAGCCGGGAAGGGGCUCCCCAGCAACCCGCGCUCGGGCAUGCAGGCGGGGGCCGCAGAACAGUGAAGACAGGACGGGACAGCGGACGUAGUGCAUUUAAUGCAUCGACAGGAGUCACAUCGGCAGGACUAGUUUUGCUCAGCAAGGCUAGAGAGUAUACCCUAUAAUCUAUUUUUAUCUACCGUGUACAGUGGCCUGACAGCGCGGAUCAAUAGUAGAGCAAUUCCUGUGGCGAUGACAUGCGUAUAGGAAACGUGUCGCGUUGCAUGCAUCGGCACCUGUGGUACCCCCUUGUCUAUAAAAGGAGAACCAAUGCCACCGGUCAAAGGGUUCAAGUUCGAGUCGAAGUUAGUAGUAGCAAGGAGUUUCGCUCCUGUUCAUAGCCAAUUCUCUUAGGAGAACAAGUAGCUCCCUCGGGAACUCCCUGGGGCAACCUGUAAAAACACACAUUCUUGUGAAUACAACACAGAACAGGACGUAGGAUGUUACACCUACGGGUGGCCCAAACCUGGGUCAACUCACGCGUCGACACUUCGUGUCUUUCGUCACGUCGGUGAUCGCCAGAGCAAUCGCCUUGCCCUCCACCGAACCACAAAGGGGGUGCUCGGCAUCCCCGGUGCCAAAGGCCCGUGCUCCGACAUCUGGCGCGCCAGGUAGGGCGGCAUGCAGAGAACUUCGGGUGACCGCCGGCGUCGUCGUCUUCACCAUCGGCUUCGUCGCCGUCUUCAUCAUCUACCUCGCCAUCGUCUUCACCACUGGUUCCUUCAUCGGCUUCUUCAUCAGCGACAUCGACUUGCUCGCCAUGCCACCCAAGAAGGCAGACGAGCCCCGGGUCGACCUGCGCGACCCCCUCGCCAUGCGCACUCGAUCCCACGACGCCGCACGUGCGUCGCAAGGCCAAGGGGACUAGGGGUCCCGUCAACGGUAGCAGCAGCAACCGCAGCUGCCACCCCCACCUCCUCGGCCGUCGACAGACAACCGUCCGAGGGGGUCUGCGGCGCCUAGCGCCGGAGCCAGCCGCGCGAGCUACCUCAACAUCUCCCGUGCCAGCUAGCGAGCUCCCUCACGAGCUGAGGACGCGCAGCGGCAGCUGCGCCCCGUCCAUAGCGCGUCGCGUGCGACGCCAACGGAGUCUCGGCCCUCACGUCUGAGGGGACCGGGUGACCGGGCAGCCGAUCAGAGAACCGACAACCUCCACCCAAACCCCGGCGGAAGCUAUCAUUGUUGCGCAUGUCAUGGUGCGCUAUGAGCCACCGCAAGGCACGCCAGCGCAUGACACGUGGAGCGCGGAGCUGGACGCGCUCCUCGCACUCGCUGCCCAAUAGCCGCAAGGUGAGGGCGGCCUGGCCGGUUCCGGCCGGGGACAGGACCCGGGACGCAGAGAUGCGCCCCGUGUCUUGGGGCAUGGAGAGCAUCAUCCAAAAUCGGGAGGACAAGGUGGCGAGGAUCCCGAGGACUACUUGGACUCGUCGCCGACCAUCACGCCGGGUGACGCGCGGGGCGUAUUGAACGCCCGCAAAUAGGAAGAUCUCCGCCAGCACUUGCAGCGUUGGCGUUGGCACGAGGUGGAGCGCCAGCGUCCAGAGGAGCAGGAAGACGCUCCCAUGGGCGCCGAUGACGACUGCGCCACGUUCUCUCGCGAGCUGCGCUAGGUGACACGGCCCCGCAAGUGCCGAGCGCUAGCGCUCGGGACGUACGACGGGACCGUGAAUCCCAAGGACCUCCUCCUGACCUACACGUUGCGCAUGCACGCUAUCGGUGCCGAUGACAAGGUCAGGGCCAACUGGUUGCCGAUGGUCCUAAAAGGAUCAGCGAGGACCUGGUUGCUCAACCUGCCCGCCGGAUCUAUCGCCACUUGGGCUGACUUGCGCGAGCAGUUUGUGAACGCAUUCCAGGGCGGCUACAAGCGCCCGGGAACCUUGGCGGAGCUGCACACGGUAGUGCAGAAACCGGGGGAGACGUUGCAGGACUUCACCAACAGGUUCUCUAACCUCUCCUACUCUUUCCUAGAGGCGGAAGCGGCCGCCAUCAUCAACACUUACGCCAUCAACGUCCGUGACCCGAAGGUGCGUGAGAAGUUGAACACGCACCAGAUUCGAACCACAAGGGAUCUCUACGCCAUCGCGCACAAGGCUGCGGGAAACCCACUCGAGGGCUCCGGGAAGAAGGGCUCCCAGAAGCGCAGCGGGAAGCUAGUGCUUGCUGCGGAACCGGGGGCUCCCCAGAGGCCCACCAAGAAGGCGGCGUUGGCGGGAGCAUCGGGUAGCAAGCCGGCGGCGGCCGCACGCUGCCCCAUCCACACCAACGCCACCCACGACGCGCAGGACUACCGCACUCUUUAGACCAUCAAGGAGAAGCGCGAGCUGCGUCACGAGGAGUGCUGCGCUGCUGGGGCUUGCUUCAACUGCGGGGACAUCGGGCACCUCUCCCGGGAUUGCCCGAACAACCCCCGCAACGGAGCGGACUGGGGCGCAGCCGGCGGCGACAAGGGAGAACCCACGGGGGGUCGCGGUCAAGCCCGCGAUGGCAAGGACUGGCCUCCUCGCGGACGCGACAAGCCUCGCGCCGAGCAGAGCGAGGACGACUGCAGUGACGACGCUGACGAGCCCACUUCCAGGAGCCCCGCGACGUCGCCUGCAUCCACGGGGGAGCGUACGCUCUCACGUCACACGCCGCCGUGAAGCGGCUUACACGUGAGGUUUGCACCCUCCUCCCCAGCGUGGAUGCGCCACAGCCGUUGAGGUGGUCACACAUGCCGAUCACCUUCAACUCGGACGAUCAUCCGAUUCGUCCCUUGGGAUCAGGGGUAUUGCCCCUCGUGGUGUCACCCAUCAUAAACAAUGUGACGGUGACCAAGGUUCUGGUGGACAACGGAGCAAGCCUUAACCUCCUGUCCGCCAAGUUGGUGGAGAAGCGUCAGCUGCCUUUGGAGCAGAUGAAGCCCACCGACCCGUUCCGGGAAAUCAACCCCGAAGUGGUGCAGCCCAUGGGGUGAAUCACACACCCGGUGACCUUCGGGUCUUGGGAGGCGUUCCGGACUGAGCACAUCGUUUUCGACGUGGCUCGCACCCCGUUGCCGUACAACGGGAUUAUUGAUCGGCCGGCGCUGAUCAAGUUCAUGGCGGCAACCCAUUGCGCCUAUGGCGUGAUGACGAUGCCAUCAACGUACGGGGUACUCUCCAUCAAGUGCGACCUGAAGGACGCUGCUUGGUGCGUGGGCGAGGUCGUAAAGGCCUCCACGGUGGGGGAUCCCGACGACUACGACAUUGCCGGGAACGAGGAUCCACUUGCGGGUGAACAACCCGCACAGAAGAACGCACGAGCCGCUCCCGGACAGGACACCGUGGGCAGCUUCAGCUCUAGCCUGCGCGUUAGCAAAGGCGCGAAGCUAAAGGAGGAGGGCACCAAGGUCAAGAAGGUGCCCCUGCAUGCCGGCAACGAGGCACGUACCGUUUCCAUCGGUGCGAGCCUCGGCGACAAAUAGGAAAGCGCUCUCGUCGCCUUCCUCCGGGAGAAUUCUGACGUGUUCGCUUGGGAGCCGUCAGAUAUUCCCGGAGUCCCCAGGGAGGUGAUCGAGCAUCGGCUGGCGGUGUGGCCAGACGCGCGGCCGUCAAGCAGAAGGUUCGCUGGCAAGCACAGGAACGCAAGGACGUCAUCCAGCAAGAAGUGGAGAAACUCAAGAACGCCGGGGCAAUCAGGAAAGUGUUGUACCCUACUUGGUUAGCAAAUCCUGUUGUAGUCCCUAAGGCUGGAAAUAAAUUGCGCAUGUGUGUAGAUAUUACUGAUCUCAAUCAUGCAUGUUCUAAGGACCCCUUCCCUGUACCCCGGAUCGAUCAAAUAGUAGAUUUUACAGCAGGUUGUGAGUCUUUAUGCUUUCUGGAUACCUUCUCCGGCGACCAUCAGAUUAAGAUGGUGGUCGAAGAUGAGGAGAAAACAACGUUUAUCAUCCCGGUUGGCUGCUACUGUUAUACGUGCAUGUCCUUCGGGCUGAAGAACGCGGGCUCAACAUUUCAGCACGCUUUGCGCGAGUGUCUGGGACGCCAGCUAGGCCAGAAUAUCGAGGCCUACAUGGACGAUAUCAUCGUUAAGUCACGGCGCAGGGACUCGCUCGUCGGUGACCUACAGGAGACGUUUGACAACCUCCGUAGGAUCAAGCUCAACCUAAACCCCGAGAAGUUCACGUUCGGCGUGGACUCGGGGCACUUGCUAGGCUUCCUGGUGUUCCACCGGGGAAACGAAGCUGUUGUGGAAGGGGGUCCACGCCCACCCUGAAUCGAAGCAAAUUAUUAUGACUCUAACUAAUAAGCCCUAAUGACCAGUGCUACACCUCGGUGCGCCACGUCUGGCCUCGUCAUGCCAUGGUGCCCGGCUACGUACGAGACCACGUCUCGCAUUGUCUCAUUGCACCACUUCAUACCACAUCAUAGUAGUUAGUUCCUAGAGUGGCACAGUUGUAAUUAGAUAAGAGACAAAGAUUUACUUCUCCCAAGCCCUGGGAUUCCUUGGAAUAUUCCCUAGAUAUAGAAAGGAAAAGACACAAUUGCCCUCAACCAAGCAUAAGGACUGAUGGCAUCACCGUAAAUUGCCUAGGGGCAAUCUUGUAAUCUUCAACUUCCAAACUUUAUAAAUAGAAGGGCACCCCCUCAUAUUUGAGGAGCGUUUCCAGUAAAAAAAUAAUAUUUGAGGUGGGUCGCAUUUGCUUGAGGUCAUGCCUCUCCCCUUAUCAUCCUAGGUGACAAGACUCCGACCCCUAAAGUCGUCAAGUGGAGAAGCCUCCAGACCCACGUAGUCGCUCGAUGUAAGGCUCCGACUCCUGAAGUCGUCGAGUGGUGAAGCUUCCAGAACCACGUAGUCGUUCCGACUCUCGAAGUCGCUCGACGUAAGACUCUGACUCUUGAAGUCGUCGAGGGAAGAAGCCUCAAGACCCACAUAGUCGUUCCGACUCUCGCAGUCGCUUGACGUAAGACUCAGACUCCUGAAGUCGUCGAGUGGAGAAGCCUCCAGACCCACGUAGUCGUUCUGACUCUCGAAGUCGCUCGACGUGAGACUCCGACUCCUAAAGUCGUCGAGUGUAGAAGCUUCCCAACCCACGUAGUCGUUCCGACUCUCGAAGUCGCUCGGCGUGAGACUCCGACUCCUGAAGUCGUCGAGUGUAGAAGCUUCCCAACCCACGUAGUCGUUCCGACUCUCGAAGUUGUGACCCAUGCUAAGGUUGUCAGAGUAGCCGAACACAAUGUAAGGUUGGGAUCUUAAUUAGAUAAAAUCUCUUCUUGGGAGCUUUUGAUAUGGACAUGCUAACCAUGGAUACGACCUUUGGUACCCUCAAUUCUAUAAUAUUUGACAAGAUUUAUAAUCAGGAGAAUUCAAGUAGUAAUUGUUUUCAUUGUCAUAUUUAUGAAGAGGCGGAGCUACUACUAUCUUGUCUCGUUUUAUUACGUAGGCAUCUUCUCGAGCUUUUCAAGUCCAAGGUCAAGAUGAGAUACGAUGGAGGCGAACGGGAGGGCCAACAAGAAUCAAGCAUUCAUACAGCUGAGAGGGAAGGAUUUCAAGUGUACUUUCCAACAAAUCAAACGGCACAUGAUUCGGAGCUUGCUAGAGAAAGAUAUCACGAAUUAAAGUUGAAUCCGAUUCAGGUCCAAGCUGCCAGGAGACCCGAAUUUGUUUUAAUCACCCCGGCCGCAUCCGGAGUCCAAAUCAAGCAAACAAGUACUUGUUGGAAAGGUAAUUACAAACGGAUCUGGCCCCAUCAACAGAUUCGACUCGUGCUGACCGUGAAGGACAAAACAAGCUGACGGAUCUGUUUUUCUGUUUCCUAAAAAGUUGUAGUUUGUUAGGAAAGUUAGAGAUAGAGUUGGAUUUCGGCCUCCUUACUCAAGGUGGACGAAAAUAUCUCUCCCUCCUCCUUUAUAUACCCCAUGAGCCCCCCCUAAGGAGCCUUGGGUUUUGAUUAGAUAAAGUUUAGCCAUCUUUGCUACUUUCGUGUAGUCGCGUGUGUCGGUUAGACCACCUGUUUUACCGUCGUCAAGACUCCAACUUAUCAUCUCGUUGAGACAUUGGUUUGAUAUAGUAUACUCGCAAUUUUAGAUUGCAUCCGCUAUUUAUCUUGUUCUUGCUUGUUCUUCGAUUGCUUGCAGGAACAAAGACCUUCGUGGUCAGGUUGAUCGUGCCCCCGCGUGAUCAAUAACCCUCUGGAGUUGGUGUAUCGAUUGCUAAGGCGCUGCCUGCUAGGCCGUAGUCGGAUCGUCAACGUCACCUCCUACCCAAAUCGAGAGUUAUCAGUCUCAUCGAAAGAUCGGGCCACCCCGACCCGCAUCACGUGGUAUCAGAGCUUAAGGUUGCUCGGUGAGAUUUUUCCAGUUUAUCCGUAGUUUAGAUCUUUUUUUACCUAUCGUCCAGAAAAAGCCAAAUAAAAAUUAGAAUUAGUUACCUUGUCCUAGAACCAAUCUGAGCCUUGCAAUUUUCACUUUAGUAUUUGCAUUGUUGAAUCUUUGCUGCGUUAAUCGAAUCGAGUUGCUGGAUUAGAUUGGAUCGUUUUUCAGAUUUUUUCUACUAGAUCAAACUUGCUUUUGGUUUUCUUGUUCUUCGUGUGACGCAGGUUUCCUUCAUCAAUCUUCCGCCGCCAAACUUCUUGCCACACCACCGCCAUAAUCUCCCGCCGCCACCAUAUCUUCCACCGAGUCCCUCUUCGAGUCCUACACCGAGUCCCUCUUCGAGUCCUACACCGAGUCCCUCUUCGAGUCCUACACCGAGUCCCUCAUCGAGUCCUACACCGAGUCCGUCUUCGAGUCCUACACCGAGUCCCUCUUCGAGUUCUACAUCGAGUCGGCAAGUAAUAGUUUUCAGCCGCGAGUUCGAGUCCGAGUCCAAUAAGGAGUGCUUUUGGAAAGUGUUUCAUCAUAGAUCGAAUUUUGUUUAGAGAUCAAGUUGUUUGGAAAGUUGAAAAAAAAAGAAAGGAAAGAAAAAAAAGGAAAGAAAGAAAGAAAAAAAAACGAAAAAAAAAGAGAAAGAGUUCGAGUCAGUUUCGGACCCGAGUCCAAGUAGAAUUUUAGUUCCGGGUGGGUUUGACCCGUGUUAAGUAAAACGGGCGUAUCUUUUGCGUACCAAAAAGUCCAAGAACGUCCAAAUCCGAGUUGGUACGCAAAAGAUACGCCCGUUUUACUGAACAGGGGUCAAACCCACUCGAAACUAAAAUUCUACUCGGACUCGGGUCCGAAACUGACUCGAACUCUUUCUCUUUUUUUUUGUUUUUUUUUCUUUCUUUCUUUCCUUUUUUUUCUUUCCUUUCUUUUUUUUUCAACUUUCCAAACAACUUGAUCUCUAAACAAAAUUCGAUCUAUGAUGAAACACUUUCCAAAAGCACUCCUUAUUGGACUCGGACUCGAACUUGCGGCUGAAAACUAUUACUUGCCGACUCGAUGUAGAACUCGAAGAGGGACUCGGUGUAGGACUCGAAGAAGGACUCGGUGGAAGAUAUGUUGGCGGCGGGAGAUUAUGGCGGUGGUGUGGCAGGAAGUUUGGCGGUGGAAGAUUGAUGAAGGAAACCUGCGUCACACGAAGAACAACAAAACCAAAAGCAAGUUCGAUCUAGUAGAAAAAAUCUGAAAAACGAUCCAAUCUAAUCCAGCAACUCGACAUGAUUAAUGCAGCAAAGAUUCAACAAUGCAAAUACUAAAGUGAAAAUUGCAAGGCUCAGAUUGAUUCUAGGACAAGGUAACUAAUUCUAAUUUUUAUUUGGCUUUUUCUGGACGAUAGGUAAAAACAGAUCUAAACUACGGAUAAACUGGAAAAAUCUCACUGAGCAACCUUAAGCUCUGAUACCACGUGAUGCGGGACGGGGUGGCCCGAUCUUUCGAUGAGAUUGAUAACUCUCGAUUUGGGUAGGAGGUGACGUUGACGAUCCGACUACGGCCUAGGAGGCGGCGCCUUAGCAAUCGAUACACCAACUCCAGAGGGUUAUUGAUCACGCGGGGGCACGAUCAACCUGAACACGAAGGUCUUUGUUCCUGCAAGCAAUCGAAGAACAAGCAAGAACAAGAUAAAUAGCAGAUGCAAUCUAAAAUUGCGAAUAUACUAUAACAAACCAAUGUCUCAACGAGACGAUAAGUUGGAGUCUUGACGACGGUAAAACAGGUGGUCUAACCGACACACGCGAUUACACGAAAGUAGCAAAGAUGGCCAAACUUUAUCUAAUCAAAACCCAAGGCUCCUUAGGGGGGGCUCAUGGGCUAUAUAAAGGAGGAAGGAGAGAUAUUUUCGUCCACCUUGAGUAAGGAGGUCGAGAUCCAACUCUAUCUCUAACUUUCCUAACAAACUACAACUCUUUAGGAAACAGAAAAACAGAUCCAUCAGCUUGUUUUGUCCGUCACGGUCAGCACGAGUCGAAUCUGUUGAUGGGGCCAGAUCCGUCGGAAAGGUCUUGUAAUUGCCUUUCCAACAAGUACUGGUUUGCUUGAUUUGGACUCCGGAUGCGGCCUGCGUGAUUAAAACAAAUUCGGGUCUCCUGGCAGCUCGGACCCGAAUCGGAUUCAACUUUAAUUCGUCAUAUCUUUCUCUAGCAAGCUCAGAAUCAUGUGCCGUUUAAUUUGUUGGAAAGUACACUUGAAAUCGUUCCCUCUCAGCUGUAUGAAUGCUUGAUUCUUGUUGGCCCUCCCGUUCGCCUCCAUCGUAUCUCAUCUUGACCUUGGACUUGAAAAGCUCGACAAGAUGCCUACGUAAUAAAACGAGACAAGAUAGUAGUAGCUCCGCCUCUUCGUAAAUAUGACAAUGAAAACAAUUACUACUUGAAUUCACCUGAUUAUAAAUCUUGUCAAAUAUUAUAGAAUUGAGGGUACCAAAGAUCGUAUCCAUGGUUAGCAUGUCCAUAUCAAGUGUCCAAACCAGGGUGCUACAAGUUUACUGUUCGGGAUUAACCUGCCAACAGUUGGAGCCGUCUGUGGGAACCGACACGAGAAGUCAUGUCAUGAAAUGUGAACACUCCAAGCUAGUGCCUUCAUCAAGUCUAAAUCUAAAGAUAACUUGGAAAUACUGCAGGUGUGGCCGGUGAGCAAACCAUCCUCGAAGAGCAAGAAAAUCCCUUGAAGAUGGCUUUAUUUGGUGACAUACCACUUUCAUGAGUGAGUCAGGAAGACAUCUCACGGUGACAACGAAGUCUCUAUUCUCGUCAAAGAACGAUGUGGCAUGCCAACAUCCCUUGUUGAGAAGCCGUUCGCGAAGCACCAUAUCGCGUCGAUAGACACGCGCAUGCGUAACUUGAAGAAACUCCACGCUCGUGUCGAGUCAAAUAAACUCCGGGUGAUAUCCCACGUCGAGAAACAUCAUGAUGGCCGGCGAUUAAAAAAAACCAUGGCGGCGUCUCGUGUUGAGAAGCAACCCCUGUACGUCUGUGAAGACCAUAUCAGAAAGCAUCACGAGAGUACAGGUGAAGAAACUCCACGGCGAUUUCUCAUGUCGAGAAGCAACUCAUCCGCUUGCGCCGGAAAAACUCCAUGACGCCCCCCCGGAGUCGAGCAGCGUCCUAUCCACGUCCAGUGAAUACUCUCCUAGGGCGUGCCACGCACAUAAAAGCGCAACUCGCUCUGCGGACGGCAAAGCCAUCUCGCGGCAAAGUCAGCGCAAGGGGCUGGUGCUGAAAGCCCUAGUGUCAAGAACACCCUCAACAUUUAGACAAUGCCACCAAGGUCAAACGCACACAAAAUAUAGAAGAAUUCAUGGCGCGCAGAUGAAUAUAAAUGUAUACAACCAUUAUCUACAAACAAUCUGUACGUGAUGGCCCAAAAAAAGAUGUUGUACAUGAUAUCUUCUUGCACCACAUCCGGAUGGCACCCGCCGGGUUCGGGUGCGGGUACAGCUCUACCAUACCCGUACCCGAUGGCCCGACCCUCAACAUUCAGUCUCAUUCAGAAGCAUGCAACGUCAUAAACAACAUGUAGACAACAUCAUAAAUAGCAUUAUUUCAACAAUUAACAACAUCAUUCAACGAGGAUUGCAGGGCUUGGCAUCGGCGAUGUCUUCGACUACGGCCUCCAACACCUCUUCAUGCCGCCACCAGGUGCCGGAGCUCGCGGACCCGUGCCGGCCGACGCCUCAGCGGGGUGCUCUUCCUCGUGAUCCUCACCGGCAGGCCCCCAACGGCGGCGCUGGAUAUGCCGAGGUGGGAUCCGUGGAGGCGGGGCGGACUGGGGGCAGAGGGGUGGAGGAGGGACGGCAGACUGAUGGACGGUGGUGAGGAGGCGGGGGCGCGGGCGGCGCCAUGCGUACAGGGGAGUAGGGGUCGGGGUCUCGGGGGUGGGGCCAGUGGAGGAGGCGGGAGGCAGGGACGCGGGGCAGAGGGCCGGUGGAGGAGGCGAGAGGCAGGGGCGCGGCCGCGUGACGACGCGAGGCGGGGAGGACGACAGGAGUCAGGAGGCGGCGCGGCAGACAGGUGAUGUAGGGAAUUUGGAAUUUAGGGUUAGGUCUUGGGGCAAUUUAUAUCUAUGAAAAUGUUGUGGGGCUGGGCCUUAGAAAAAGUUUACUGAGCCUACUGCACUGUGCUAGAUGCGGGUAGAUGGGUUUGGCUGGUCCAAUACCAUACCCGUAUCCGUCAUACCCGUCGGGUAUAGGAUUUUACCAUUUACAUACCCGCAGGUAUUUUUUCUUACCAUACCCGUUUUUUAAACGGUAUGCGGGUAUCGGUUACCCAUCGCCAUCGGGAGCACCACACGGUGUACAUACAAAGAAGACUGACUCACCCACCACGUGACACCACCCAGCGCCAGGACACUGCAUCGAGCAGUGGCAACCUAACUUACUGCACGCUGCAGCCAUCCUUGCAACCUAACCUACUGCACGCUGCAGCCAUCCUGAUGUCACGUCAGGCUCCCGCUCCAUCCCGCGUCAGGUCGCAAUGCCAUAUCGGUCGUUGCUCCUGCUGAUGCUCGGAGCCGCAUGCCGGCGACCCACACGAAGGCACAUCUGCAGCUCCUCGUGAAGACAACGUCACAGAGGCAUUUCAUCAAACACGUCCUGUGCAACGUGCGUGGUUCCUCAACCAUGAGUUCUGCAGAUGCUCUUCUGAACACGAGCAUCACCGACGCCACAACUCCGUGAGCACCUGCAACAAAGAGCGACCACCGCGCACGCCUGCUGCGUUCCUGUGUCCGCCGCGCGCAGGUAGCAGCCAGCCGGGCGCGCAUCGGCGCAUGGGUGCAUGGUCUCGCGCGGCCCUCAUUGCCGGCCUCCGCAUGGCUAAGACGCGCCCACCGCGCAUAUGCUGACACUGCUACAACACCAGCGCCACCUCGUCUGUUCUCCGCAGCAGCCACGCACUGAAGCAAGCCCACCAACGUGCCUCGACGCAGGACCGUGCCGCACCCGCUCGCUCAAUGAGGCCGCGCCACGCGCCGUGACGCUUGAACUCCGCACGCGCUCAAGACCCGGCGCCGCGCACCUGCUCGGGGAGGCCACCUGGUCGGAGCCGACGACACCCCUUAUAUAUGGGUCCUCCGAACUGCCGGUGUUUCCCUCGCCUGCACAGGCUUGCCCGUCCACUCUGCGUCUGUUGCCGUACCAGGCCAGAGCUCGCGUGCCUCGCCGGGCGCUCCAAGGCUAACUCCGCCGAGGCUGCGCUGCUCACGGAAGAAGCCCCGAUUUUGGGCGUGCAGGUCGCAGACCAUGACCUCUGCACCCGGCCUCAAGCUCGCAGGCGCCGAAGACCGUCCGAACCACCAAUGGGCCCGGAAUCUGGUCGUGCCCAGUGCCCUUCCCCGCUCGGCGCUUGUGCCCUCCGCGGGACCAUCCUCAACCUAGCUCGACCACCUGUACAGGAGGAGAGAUCGAUCGGUUCAGGCAGGUAAAAAAAAAUUUGAUAAUACUAGAGAUUUGGUCAUCGGGUUGGCACUGGAUGCAUUUUUCUCCGUAGGGACCUCAACUUUGAUAAUUCAAUGACAAUGAAGCAACUGUCGUAACCGUUCAAUACACUCAGGACAAACAACAAGCUCACGACAGCACACAUGACGAGCCGCCAAUCGACUGCUGCGAGGAAGUGAUUGGCACCAAAUCGCAAGGGGUUCAACACCCGAUUAAUUUCUCCCGAGCCUCAUGAAGACAUGAAGUGAUGGGUAUAAGUUCGCAAGGGGUUCAACAACCCGAGCUACAUUUUGAGCUUCUGAUAAUUAUGUAGCCGCAUUUUACUUUCUCAUUACUUUAAUACUCUUUGUCAUAACAUUAACCUCUUUGUCAACUUUGAUUUCACACAAUGAACUACGUGAAUCCUUUAUGUUAUGCCUUUUGUAGGAUGCGAUUCACUCACAACACUUAUUUAUCAUGACAAUGUCAAGUCAAUAAAAUUCCGUCAUUAACGGAUCCGGCCUAGCUCACCGGGAUGACAUGAGAAAGUAAGAUAGCCAUGAGAGUACUUGGACUAGCUCCCUGAGACAUCAUGAGUCAGACAUACCCCUGCUAUGGAUGGACUCGGCCUAGCUCAGCGGGACGACAUGAGCAAAUAAGAUAGCCAUGAGAGGGCUCAGGCUAACUCCCCGAGUCAUCAUGUGCCAGACAUACCCCGUCAUGGACGGACCCGGCCUAACUCACAGGGACGACAUGAGCAAAUAAAAUAGCCAUGAGAGGGCUCGGGCUAACUCCCCGAGACAUCAUGUGCCAGACAUAGCCCGCCAUGGACGGACCCGGCCUAGCUCACCGGGACGACAUGAGCAAAUAAGAUAGCCAUGAGAGGGCUCGGGCUAACUCCCCGAUACAUCAUGUACCAGACAUAUCUUGUCAUGGAUGGAACCGGCCUAGCUCACCGGGACGACAUGAGCAAAUAAGAUAGCCAUGAGAGGGCUCGGUCUAACUCCCCAAGACAUCAUGCACCAGACAAACCAGCGGUCGGGCCGAUACGUCUUCAGUAAAAGGCGAAAGAAUAGUUCGCUUUGUGCUCACCACACAGCUGCGUACGCUAAUUUUUGGAGGGGUACUACAUACCACUGCAGCAUGAGAACAUCACCCCAUCUAAAUGGUGAAGUAAUAUUGAAGAAAAUUCCACGAAGGGCAAAUCUAGCUCCAUAAUACAUCCCAGAACUUAUGAGGACAUCAAUGAGAAAAAGAAGAAUCUUCAUCACCGGGAGUCACGACUCUGCGGUCAUCAAAGAAGGAGGCAAAGAACCUCCAUUACCGCAUAGGAGCCACGACUCUCCGGUCAUGUCGAGAAUGAGACAAAGGACCUCCAUAACCGCGAGAGCCACUACUCCGCGGUCAUGUCGAGAAGGAGGCCACGGAUCUCCAUCAUCGCGUAGGAGCCAGGACUCCGCAGUCAUGUCAUAGACGCCUAACUACCACCAUAGUUGAUUGCGAGCUAGGACUCCGCGUCUCUGCCUAGAAGAUGUUGAAGAAAAUCCAUAUCAAAGUAGGGGCCACAACCCCGUGGCAAUAUCGAGGAGACAAUGAAAAACUUAGUUAUUGCAAGCAAGCUGAAAUCCCGUGGCCGCAUAAAAAAGAAGGAACAAGAACUCUCUAUCAUGGCGUGUGGGACAACGCUCAACUCCAAGGUUGGGAAGACAAUGGAGAUCAAACCCACACCGCAACACGCAAGAAAAAAUAGUUGCGUCAUCCAGAUAUGAAAACUGGGUUACCACCGCCAUGUGUAAUUCACAACUUCACCACCAAUUCAAGAUGAAAAACUCAUCAACAAUGCUUUGACCCAUGUAGUUGUGGAGGACAAAUUUCCACCACCGUAGCAUAUUCGAAGCACCAUAUAUGCAUAAAAAAUUCUACACCACAUGCGGAGAACCAGCAAGGGACAUUCUAGGUGAAACACACAGUCCAAAAGUACAUAGCACAAUCAAGAAAAACAACAAUUGUCCAUGAUGAUGAGCAGAGAGAAAGAAGUAAGUUAGCAUCGAUCCGGGUAACGCGUCAACCCCCUCAGAUUGAGGCGUCGACCCGGACAGGCGCUCCUCGACCGCCCAGACGACGAGGGGCUACUGUUGUGGAAGGGGGUCCACGCCCACCCUGAAUCGAAGCAAAUUAUUAUGACUCUAAUUAAUAAGCCCUAUUGACUAGUGCUACACCUCGGUGCGCCACGUCUGGCCUCGUCAUGCCAUGGUGCCCGGCUACGUACGAGACCACGUCUCGCAUUGUCUCAUUGCACUACUUCAUACCACAUCAUAGUAGUUAGUUCCUAGAGUGGCACAGUUGUAAUUAGAUAAGAGACAAAGAUUUACUUCUCCCAAGCCCUAGGAUUCCUUGGAAUAUUCCCUAGAUAUAGAAAGGAAAAGACACAAUUGCCCUCAGCCAAGCAUAAGGACUGAUGGCAUCACCGUAAAUUGCCUAGGGGCAAUCUUGUAAUCUUCAACUUCCAAACUCUAUAAAUAGAAGGGCACCCCCUCAUAUUUGAGGUGCGUUUCCAGUAAAAAAAAAUAUUUGAGGUGGGUGGCAUUUGCUUGAGGUCAUGCCUCUCCCCUUAUCAUCCUAGGUCACAAGACUCCGACCCCUAAAGUCGUCGAGUGGAGAAGCCUCCAGACCCACGUAGUCGCUCGACGUAAGACUCCGACUCCUGAAGUCGUCAAGUGGUGAAGCCUCCAGAACCACGUAGUCGUUCCGACUCUCGAAGUCGCUCGACGUAAGACUCCGACUCCUGAAGUCGUCGAGGGGAGAAGCCUCAAGACCCACAUAGUCGUUCCGACUCUCGACGUCGCUCGACGUAACACUUGGACUCCUAAAGUCAUCGAGUGGAGAAGCCUCCAGACCCACGUAGUCGUUCCGACUCUCACAGUUAAAGAAGUGUCACCAAGAAAUGGCCGAUACACCACUGAGGGAUACAGUUUCACUUGAUGAAGUUGAGAUUCAAAGCGAUCUCACAUAUGAAGAGAAACCAACCAGGAUCUUGGAAACAGCUGAAAGACAUACCCGUUCCAAGACCAUCAAAUUCUGCAAGGUUCAAUGGAAUCACCACACCGAAGAAGGAGCGACGUGGGAACACGAGGAUGAUCUUCGAGAAGACCACCCACACCUUUUUGCUAACCAAUAGGAAUCUCGAGGACGAGAUUCAUCUUAAGGGGGUUAGGUCUGUAACAUCCCAAUUUUCAAAACCCUUCAUAUGCAUUGCAUAUCAUAAGCAUCAUGUCACCUUUGCAUUUGAUCACUUUCAAAACCUAAAAUUUGCACAAAAAACCCUUUUGCAAAAAUGCAUUUAUUUGAUUUUGGGCUUUGAUCUUGCUCUUGAGUAUUUGCAUUUUAACCCAUGAGGGUAUUGUGAUAAAAAGGGUUUAGUGCAUAUAUAAAGCUACCCCAUAAGUUGACUUUUGAAACUAUUUUGAAACAUAAUUUAUUUUGAUAGCCUAAGGGCCCUAAAAGCCAUUUUAUAGGCAAAUGUAUUAUUAAAUAUUUUAUUUUGAGUAAAUUCUUGUUCCAAAAGUUAGAUCAUAUGAAAAUAUGAUUUUACAAAUUUUGUUGCAAUUUAUUUGGAGUGAUUUGGAGCUUUGAAUCAAUUUUGAGGUUCAGAAACAGAAAUUAGAAAGAAAGAAAAGAAAAACCGGAGAAAACCGGCCGAACAGGACCGAACUGGACCGGCCCAGCCCGAACCGCCCGGUUUCUCUCACUGACCGGUGGGACCCGCACGUCAUCAUCUCCAACUGCCUCCUCCGGAGUCCACGCAGAGCACGCCCCGCGAACUGCCCACGACGCCCACUCCGAUUUCUCCGCGCACGGGCCGUCUCCUCCAAAUCCCUGCGCGUCACCCCGAAGCCCUCACUUUUCUCCUCCACUUCCCCCAAACUGCUCACCCAAUUUUGCUUCGGUUAGAUAUUAGUUUCUCACCAGAGUUGCUCUCUGCUGUCGCCGUUCUUCGCGUUUCGUCGCCGCUCCGGUGAGCUUCUCGCACCGCCGACCCUCUCCCCUUCCGCCUCUCUCCCGUGCGCACCCCGUGACGCGCUUGCCUUCGAGUUCGAACUGCGCCGCCCGCCUGCCGCGCCGCCGUCCGCCUCCGCCCUGAACCGCGCCGCUUGCGCCGUCCGGGAGCCGCGCCGUCGCCCGCGCGCUGCCCGCGCCGCCUUCGGCCGUGCCCGUGCGCCGUCCGCCGCCGCCCCCCGCCUGCGCCGCGAGCCCGCGGUGCCAUGCCUCCGCCGUUCGGUGAGCUCGCGCCGCCUAGGAGAAACCCUAGGUCCCGGCCAAUCCCGCCAUGCCACGUGGCGAAGCUUUUUCUUUUUCUUUUUAUUUUAUUUUCGGCCGAUUAAAUAGUAAUUUUUGCAGAAAAGCCCCUGUUACUUCAAAGCAUCAUAACUUUCAAACCGUUUGUCCAAAAAUUAUGAUCUGCACCUUUAUGGAAUCGUCACAACCUGUAAAAUAUUUUGGCACUGUCUAAUUUCAGUUUCGAACAACUUAGUCUGAAGCAAUUUACAGAAUGGUUGAAUAUGGUUUAAAUUUCAAACGAAAGGUUUCAAAAUAGUUUUGAACAUGUUAGCUUGCUGUAAAAUUAUUUAAGCAUGUUCUCUGUCCAUUAUGACCAGAGGAGAAAUUAUUUUGAGAAUAAUAAUGGCAUACGAGUUUAAAUCUUGCUGUAUGUUGCAAAAACCACACAAUCUUUUAAUUUAAAACCUAUCCUUGUUUCAUGCAUGUUAAUUACCUCUUUGAUGUUGUUUAAACUGUCCAAAUCAUUUGAAAAACUUUUCAAAACAGAAACAAAACUUGUUACAUUAAAAGUAACCAAGUGUGCAUUAAUAUAGCAUAUGCAUCAUAAGAUGAUUUUGUGUGGAAGCUUGUGUUUAUUGUGUGUAUACUUUCUUUUAUUUUAGAUUGUGUGGUGUGUAUUUUUUGUUUUUGCGAAGAGUGCGAGAACUAUCACAACCUUGGACAAGGCAAGUUCAUUUUGAUCAUAUCCCAUUAUUAUUGUUGUUUUAAAAUACUUAUGCAUUAGUGUUGUUGGUAGAGAUGCAUUGAUAGGACUAUUACUCGUACCUCUAUACUAGCUAUAUAUCCCAGGUAGUAUAGUUUAUCCUCGCCAUUACCUUGCCACCAAAUUGCCAUCGAUUGUAGUUGAAUGCUAAACUAUGGUAGUAUCGUGGGGGAAAUAUCUACAUUAUGAUAUUGUUAUGCCGUUGGCUAUAUGAAAUGUUUUUGUUAGAUGUAAGUCAAAACAACUAAUUCAAUGAACCGUCCUGGGUGGGCUGCUUUGAGCAUUUUGAGCAUUAGCGGCGUCAGGUGAUACGGGUCAGGGUGGCCCGAUCUUUCGAUGAGAUUGAUAACUCUCGAUUUGGGUAGAAGGUGACGUUGACGAUCCGACUACGGCCUAGGAGGCAGCGCCUUAGCAAUCGAUACACCAACUCCAGAGAGUUAUUGAUCACGUGGGGGCACGAUCAACCUGACCACGAAGGUCUUUGUUCCUGCAAGCAAUUGAAGAACAAGCAAGAACAAGAUAAAUAGCGGAUGCAAUCUGAAAUUGCGAAUAUACUAUAUCAAACCAAUGUCUCAACGAGAGAAUAAGUUGGAGUCUUGACGACGGUAAAAUAGGUGGUCUAACCGACACACGCGAUUACACGAAAGUAGCAAAGAUGGCUAAACUUUAUCUAAUCAAAACCCCAAGGCUCCUUAGGGGGGCUCAUGGGCUAUAUAAAGGAGGAGGGAGAGAUAUUUUUGUCCACCUUGAGUAAGGAGGCCGAAAUCCAACUCUAUCUCUAACUUUCCUAACAAACUACAACUCUUUAGGAAACAGAAAAACAGAUCCGUCAUCUUGUUUUGUCCGCCACAGUCAGCACGAGUCGAAUCUCUUUAUGGGGUCAGAUCCAUUGGAAAGCUCUUGUAAUUACCUUUCCAACAAGUACUUGUUUGCUUGAUUUGGACUCCGUAUGCGGCCUGGGUGAUUAAAACAAAUUCGGGUCUCCUGACAGUUCGGACCCGAAUCAGAUUCAACUUUAAUUCGUGAUAUCUUUCUCUAGCAAGCUCCGAGUUAUGUGCCGUUUGAUUUGUUGGAAAGUAGACUUGAUAGGCUUCACUUUGAAUCUCCCUUUGAAGGCUAUCACACUUCAUCUUCACUUUGGACUUGUAAAGUUCAAUAAGAUGCCUACAUAAUAAGAUUACACAAGAUAGUAGCUCCGCCUCUUUGCAAGUAACAUAUUGAAAACAUUUUAUAAUUGAAUUUACCUGAUUAUAAUUGUUAUUAGAUACACCAACAAUUUAGGGUUCUAAUGGUCGUAUCCAUGGUUAGCAUGUCCAUAUCACACACUUAACAGGACCAGGGACUCGGGACGGACCAGCAGUGCCGACCUGGGGCCAAGCAGCAGCGGCGAGCUACUCCGCUUGCGGGAUAACUACUCCCAGGCAUGCCCUCCCGGGAUGGACCCGGAAGCCGCACGGGGAGCGCACUCCCCCCGCAAGUGUCCUUCUAACACCCCAGCCACACGCAGGUUUCGGGGACCACACUUAGCGAGGCAGCGUUCAGUUACGUUUAGCUCUCAGAGAGUCUAUCGUUCAGAUUCAAGCACUUAGCUUUUCGUUUGGACUCGUGCUCGGUAAGCGUGCCGGAGGGGUGCGUCUGGAACGCUGCGGCAGGAUCGCCGCCCGUGACGAGCACCGAUGACGAUGCUACAGCCGCGUCUCUGCAUCAACCCUCGCCUUCGGAAGAGCCCUUGCCUUUGGAGGAACCUGUUCCGAGGGGUGCAGUAGGGACGCCGUGACAUCCUCGCCACCACCGACAGACGCGGGUGGCGAAGACAUCACGGCAUCCCCGCAGCAGCCCUCGCUGCUUGGGGAAGGUCUACCUGAGGGACGCAGCAGGGACGCUGUGGUGGACCGGAGCAAACGGCGAACGCGGCACCGGCGCCAUCACAGCGUCCUCGCGACGACCCUCGCCUCUGGAGGCACCCUCUAGAGGGGUGCGGCAGGGACACUACGGCAAUGCACCCGUCGACGCUGAGCGCUGAUGGCAUGGACCACCACAGUGUCUCCGCGGCAACCCUCGCCCCGGAGCCGCUCGCUAGAGGAGGUGCAGCAAGGACACGGCGGCAGUGCACCUGUCGGUGCUGAGUGCCGGGGGUAUGCACCCCCACCGUGUCUCUGCGGCACCCCUCAGAGUGGGCUCGGUGGAGGGAUGCGGCAAGGGCGCGACGGCAGUGCACCCGUCGGUGCUGGGCGUGGAUGGCAUGUACCCCCAUCGCGCCUCUGCGGCACCGCCCGCCUUUGCAGCCUCUUCCUUGGCCUCUUCCUCAGAGUGGGCUUGGUGGAGGGAUGCGGCAAGGGCGCGACGGCAGUGCACCCGUCGGUGCUGGGCGUGGAUGGCAUGUACCCCCAUCGCGCCUCUGCGGCAUCGCCCGCCUUUGCAGCCUCUUCCUUGGCCUCGCUCUGAGCCGUUCCAUGGCCGGGACGCCCCUUUUAUAGGCGCGGGGGGGGGGGGGGCGGGGCUUGCCACCACGCGCGCCGGGUCAACGCAGCAUACGUGGCGGCUUCCUCCUGAAUAAGGGGCCUCGAAGUGCGGCAAGUCCCUCAGGAUGCGGUCGCUCCUCACCACAAGGCGGCGCUACACGCCCCGGCCCGUGGGCGGUCCACGAGCAUUACAGUGCGCAACAUUACACCUUUACCUUGCACAUUGGAUUCUUACCAAGCCCAAGAUGCUGCAAUUUUUUUUCGAAACUCACGAAAACACAGAGCAGUAUGGAUAACUCUGCUACCUCCCAGUCCUCGGGCACAGAAGGGUCGAUGCCAAACUUGGAUGUGAGCACUUUUAUUUCCCAGGCGCAGCGACUGCGUGAUGCACGUUGCGGGAAGCCCGGCAACUGCAUGCCCCGUGACGGAGUGGUCCGGCAACGGGUUCACAACCAAGUAUGGAAAGAGACUUCUGUGCACCUAGAGCAGGAGACAGAAGGAGGAGGAACAUGCAAAUAAACGAGGCAAUCUUAAAAUUCAGGAAACAACACUUAUGUUUAUUCACAGUAACUAGUGGUUUACACACGGGGGUUGCCCGGCUACACUAGUUCGAGAGGUAUGCAUCUGCGGCAUCACCUGAGGCUCGGGCUCCACCGCUUCACGAGUAGAACUUGCGCAAGUGCUCAAUAUUCCAGCUAUUUUGCACUGGGAAGCCUUCUUCGGUUUCCAGCCGGACAGCCCUCGGCCUGGUCACCUACACUACCCGGGAGGGCCCCUACCAUUUCGGAGCCAACUUGUUCCCGGCCUUCAUUCCUUAUAUCCGGCGCAGGACAAGGUCUCCGUUCUCGAGCCCCCGGGGACGGACUUGCCUGCCGUGAUAAUGACGGAGUCCCUGCUGGUAGCGCGCGGCUCGCACAGCAGCUCGGCAUCGAAGCUCUUCGAUGAAGCUCAGAUCAUCAACCCUUUGCUCGUGUUGGCUGGAGUUGCCGUACGCGCGUACUCGGGGAGAUCCGUGCUUGAGCUCGAGGGGCAGCACCGCUUCUGCCCCGUAGACAAGGGCGAAAGGAGCGUUGCCCGGCUAGGUGUGGUCCUGAUUGACCACAGCACGGGCUGGAGUUCUUCGACACAGUGUUUCCCGUGGCCUUUGAGCUUGUCAAAGGUUCGUGUCUUGAGCCCCCGCAGCACUUCCGCGUUGGCUCGCUCCGCCUGCCGGUUACUCCUUGGGUGAGCAACAGACGUGAAGUGUAUCUUGGUGCCCAUGCCCUCACCGUAGGCCUGGAACACCGCGCUCGUGAAUUGUGUGCUGUUGUCGGUGAUGAUGCCAUUAGGCACACCAAACCGCGACACAAAGCUCUUGAAGAACUUGAUGGCUGCCUGAGCGGUCACCUUCCGCACUGGCUCCACUUCCACCCACUUGGAGAACUUGUCGAUGGCCACGAGCAAGUACUCGUAGCCUCCAACCGCUCUCGGCAGCUUGCCGACGAUAUCCAGCCGCCAGACCGCGAAUGGCCACAAGGACGGGAUGACCUGCAGGGCCUGCGCCGGCUGGUUGCUCUUCUUCGCGUGGAACUGGCACGCCUCACACGUCUUCACCAGCUGCUCUGCGUCGGCCAGGCUGUGGGCCAGUAGAAACUGUGCCGAAACGCCUUGCCGGCAAACGCCCGGGAGGCCACAUUGUGGGAGCAUGUGCCUCGAUGUAUCUCCUCCAACAGUGCGCGCCCUUCAUCUUGGGGCUCGCAGAGGAGCUUGACUCCAUUUGCACGCCUGCGGUAGAGGUUCCCGUCCACCACGGCGUACAUUUUGGCUUGCCGGGCCACUCGCUCCGCGGCGACGUUGUCUUCCGGGAGAGCCUCUCCCUUCAGGUACGGGCGAUUGCCACCGCCCAGGAGGGGUCUCUCUACCAACGCAUGCCGCUACAUCAGCAGCAUAGACCUCCGCUGUUGCGGGGUUUCCUUCGGUUGUCGGAGGGGCUUCCCCGGCAACCGGCUUGGGGGCGACCGAAGGCACCACCUACCUGUGGUAGAACACCCCCGCCGGAGGCUUUUGGCGCUAUCUUGGACAGCUCGUCAGCCGCGAAGUUGUCCUUCCGCUUGACGUGCUCGAACCGCAAACCCUUGAACUUGCGUUCUAGCUUGCGGACUUCCUCCACGUACGGUGCCAUCUACGGGCAGUCGUAGUCCUUGUUAACCUGGUGGAUCACGAGCUGGCAGUCCUCGCGAACGACCAGGCGCUUGAUGUCCAGGGCGAUUGCUGCCCGCAACCUGGCGAGCAAACCCUCGUACUCCGCCGUGUUGUUAGUGGAGUUCGAGAAAUCGAGUUGGAUAGCAAACCUCAACCGAUCCCCCGUCGGUGACUCGAUGACGACCCCAGCGCCAGCUCCCUGGAGGCUGAACGCGCCGUCGAAGUACAGGAUCCAAUGGCCUCCGUCCAGCCUGCCUGGCAGGCUGGCCUCCGGCUCCUCCUUUCUACACCUGUCGAUGUCCACUCCGCGACAAAGUCCGACAGGGCCGCACUCUUGAUGCUCUUGGAGUUGGUGAAGUGCAGAUCGAACUCCAACUGCUCCAUCCUCCACUCGGCCACCCUCUCGGUGGCUUCACGGUUGGUGAGGACUCACUCAAGGCAGAACCCCGACACCACCAUGACACGGUGCGCCUGAAGGUAGUGGCGUAGUUUGCGGGACGCGAGCAGAAUCCCCAGGAGGAGCUUCUGCACCUGCGGGUACCUCGUACGGGCAUCACGCAGCACCAUGCUGACGAAGUACAUCGGGUGCGGCACGAGCCGCUUGCGCGGUGCCGACGCUGCCGGCUCCGGGGUGGUCCCUGGGUCCGAGGAGGUUGCCGGGGGCCGUUCCGCCCCCCACCCCGCCGCCUCAGUCCCCGAAACGUCUUCCUCCCUCUCGCCAACUAGCACCGAGCUGACCACCUGGUCAAUCGCUGCUAGGUAGAGUAGCAGCGGCUAACCCGGCUUGGGGGCGACGAGGACGGGCGACGACUUCAGGUAUUGCUUGAGAUCCUGGAACGCCGCCUCAGCCUCGGGGGUCCACUGUAUCGGACCCUUCUUCUUUAUCACUUUGAAGAAAGGCAGGACGCGUUCGUCCAACCUUGAGAUGAAGUGGCCCAGCGCGGCAACACAACCGUUGAGGCGCUAGACGUCCUUCACCUUGCGGAGAGCCUCCAUUUUCUCGAUAGCUUCUAUCUUCUGUGGGUUGGCUUGUAUCUCCUGGCUCGAGUCUACAACGAAGGUGCACUUCUCAGGGUUCAGCUUGAGUUUGAUCCUGCAGAGGUUAUCAAAUGUCUCCCGCAGGUCAUCAAUCAGCGAGUCCCUUCGCUUCGACUUGAUGACGAUAUCGUCCAUGUAGGCCUCCACGUUCCGGCCUAGCCGGGGUCCCAAACACUUGCGCAACACGCGCUGGAAUGUUGAGCCCGCGUUCUUCAACCCGAAAGGCAUGCACGUGUAGCAGUAGCAGCCAACCGGAGUGAUGAACACUGUUUUCUCCUCGCCUUCGACCGCCAUCUUAAUUUGAUGGUAGCCGGAAAAAGCAUCUAGAAAGCUCAACAAGUCACAACCAGCAAUGGAAUCAACUAUUUGAUCGAUAUGGGGUACAGGGAAAGGAUCCUUGGGACAUGCACGGUUAAGAUCAGUAAAAUCCACACAGAUGCGAAGCUUAUUCCCUGCCUUGGGUACUACUACAGGGUUAGCUAAUCAAGUGGGGUACAGAACUUCCCUGAUAGCCCCCGCAGCCUUGAGCUUGUCCACCUCUUGCUUGAUGAAAUCUUUGCGCUCCUGUGCUUGCCGGUGAAUCUUCUGCUUGACGGGGCGGGCAUCUGGGCGCACCGUGAGUCGAUGCUCGAUCACCUCCCUAGGGACUCCGGGAAGGUCCGACGGCUCCUAAGCGAACACAUCGUCAUUCUCCUGGAGGAAAGUGAUGAGGGCGCUUUCUAUUCGACAGUAAGGUUCGCACCGACGGGCAGCUUCUUCACCUUGGCGGCCUCCUCCCGGAGCUUCUGGCCCUUGCAGGGGCACGAGCUCGAGCCUGCGCUUCCCUCGGCACGCUCUUGCGGGACAGCGCGGGCCUUCUUUGUUGCCGGGCCGUCGCCCGGCGAGCCUUCGUCUUCGGCAACGUCCUCCUCUGAAGAGGACAUCCCACAUGUUGGUACACCCGCAGCACCUACAGUCACAUUACAAGGACCUAUCACAAGAGCUCGCGCACGCCAACUUAAUUAUCAGGUACUUUCGUUUCUUGGAACGAUUCUUCACAUACAUGAGAAUAUGAUGCUGCCUAAAUCAGAUGUGUUUGUCACACUUAGGAAUGAUGGACCUAGCAUGGAUGAGAGGGACAAGCAUUGGAGCAUGAUCACGCAUGGAGAUGAAGGCAGCAAGCGUGUGAGGACUGACGAUGGCGCCGCAACGGGAGAUUUCAGAACGUUGAAGCCACCAUAAUGAGAGAUGAAGACAUGGGUGAAAUAUAGAGCUUUUCCCUUCAUAUUUUCGUCCACAUAAUUAUAUGGUGCUACGUCACCUUUUAAGUUUGGGCUAGGCCCAUGUAAUUUUCGUCCACAUACAUGGGCUGAACUUUUGGAGUCCGUAUAGGUGAAGGAAACCAACCUAGGGUGGGUUUCGGCCUCCUUUCCCAAGGCUGACCGCAUACCCCUCUAGUCCUCCAUAUAUACCCCCGUUAGGUCUUCGUUUAGACUCGGAUUUUGUUUAGUUUGAGACUUAGCUAUUCGCUACUCUUCGCCAUAGGCACAAGUGUCAAAUCGACCUUCUGUACUACGCGCUUGCAAAAUCCCAUCAAUAAAGCUUCACCUUUAUUCGCAAUAUCUUGAUUGCAUCUAUAAUUCUUGCUUGUUCUUCGGUUGCAUGCAGGGAUUGAUCCUUCGUGAUCAGGUUGAUCUAGCUCCGACGUGGUCAAUAACCUCGGAAGUUGGUGUAGCGAUCGCUAAGGCGCAACGUCUCGCACGUUUGUAGCCGGUUCGUCAACGUCGACAUCCACCCAAAAUCGAUAGUUACCGUCUCAUCGAAAGAUUGGGCACCUUUCUCCUAUCAUCCUCACCGGUGUCGGCUGCGGCAGCGGCCCUGACGACCUCGCCCACACACCAGGCCGCGUCCUUGAGGUCGCACCUGAUGGAGAGGACUCCGUACACGGACGGCAUCUUCAUCACGCCGUAGACGCAAUGCGUCGCCGCCAUGAACUUGAUCAGCGCCGGCCGACCAAGGAUCCCGUUGUAGGGCAACGGGGUGUGCGCCACGUCUAACACUAUGUGCUCGGUCUUUAACGCUUCCUGGGACCCGAAGGUCACGGGCAGCGUGAUGCGCCCCAGGGGGCGCACGAUCCCGGGUUUACUCCCUGGAACGGGUCAGUGGGCUUCAGCUGCUCGGCGCUCCUCAUGACGCUGCUCGCGCUGCUGCUUGAUACCCUGCAGGAUGCGGCAGUCCUACGCACCGUGGGUAGAGUCGGCAUGGAUGGGGCAGCAGGACGCGUCGACUUGCUUGCCGCCAGACCCGCCACCGGGCGAGGCCUUCUUCGCGGGCCUCGGGGUAGGCCUCGAGUCCGCGGCGAGGACUUGCUUCCCGCUGUGCUUGCGGGAACUCUUCUUCUGCGAACCCUCUCCUGGGCUCGCGGCAGCUUUAGCAGCAAGUUCGGGCGAUAAGCGCCCUUCCUCGGCCAUGGCACACUUGUGCGCCAGGGCGUACAGAUCCUGCGUUGUCCGGAUCCGAUGCGUGCUCAGCUUCUCGCACAUCUUGGGGGCGCGGACGUUGAUGGCGAAGGUGUUGACGAUGGCGGCAACCUCCGCCUCCGGGAUGGAGUAGGAGAGGUUCGAGAAGCGAUUGACGAAGUUCCGCAGCAUCUUUCCCGGCUUCUGCACCACGUGUGCAGCUCCGCCAUCGUUCCCGGGCGCUGGUAGCCGCCCUGGAACGCGCUCACGAACUGCUCAUGCAGGUCUGCCCAAGUAGCGAUGGACCCGGCAGGUAGGUUGAGCAGCCACGUCCUCGCUGAUCCCUUAAGGACCAUCGGGAACCAGUUGGCUCUGACCUUGUCGUUGGCGCCGAUGGCAUGCAUCCCCAACGUGUAGGUCAGGAGGAAAUCCUUGGGAUUCAUGGUCCCAUCGUUCCGCAUGCUAUCCGCCAUCAUAGCGGAAAUUUGAGCCGUCUGCACGCUUUCCAGAGCAGCUCUUUUGUAGUUUCAGUUUUUGGCCACAAAUUUUUUCGAGGCUAUCUAGGUUUUAGACCUUGCCUCUCGUUUUGAGUCACGUUCCAUCAUAGUGAGUUUUCGUAUAUAUCUGUCCGUUUCCCAGCACUGUACCUGUUGCUUUUGGUGUCGCGGCGUGACUCCCAGGUGUUCUAGGCUCGCGACUCUAGCACGGUAUAGCCUAGGGCCAGCACGGUACCGUCGUUGAGCUAUUAUUCAACUUGUGGCAUUACUGUUUUGAAUUGUUGCUCCAGAUAUUAGGAUACAGCCACCCAGAGCUCCGCAUACUCCUACACCAUGCGUUGACACCGCCUGGCAAUCGCUUUAUUCAAUCUUCCUGAGGUUUAAUCACACCGGUUGCUAGUCACCACCUGCUGCAGGGUAAGAACGGGUAAGAAUCUUGGUUUGCUUGACAGAUUACGCAUUCUCCACCACUUGCCGGAAGCAUAUACACCCAUAUUGCUGUGCUUUUUGAAUACUAAUCAUGACAGGUGGGGAGGAGACUUCAGAACCAACAAGCGCCGAAGUACAGGCGAACUUCACCAAGCUUUUGGACGCUCACAUGCAGGACGUCGACAAGCGCUUUAAUGAUACGAUGGAACACCUUGAGGGCCUCGAAACAUUUUUCACCGACAAGCUCGACGCCAAAUUCCGGGAGUUGAUGGCGCGCUUGCCACAACCUACCGCCACUCGGGCUCCCCCUCUCCACGCAUUCGCUGGGCGGGCACAGCGUGUUCCCGUUCACCAAGGUCAAACCUCAGCUGCUGCUGCUCGUGAGGAGCAACAUGAGGAGUCUUACGGGGACGACGAGUCCGAGGGCGAGCGGGAGGACGAGGGGGAACUUCUACAACAGCCGCGUGGUCGUCCACGCCCCUACAUUCGCCACGCAUGCCCGCAUGUGCCGCCGGUACGUGAUGAUGACCAUGUUGCGAAAUUAAAAUUGACUAUACCCAUGUUUGAUGGUAGAUAUAAUCCUGAUGCAUACCUUUCAUGGGAAUUAGAAGUACAGCAACGUUUUACAUGCUUAAAUUAUCCAGAGGAUAGACGUGUUAGUGCUGCUACUUGUGAGUUCACUAGUUUUGCUUCCAUCUGGUGGAUUGAAUAUCGUCGUGUUAAUUAUGCUAAUCCAGUCACUACAUGGGAUGCUUUGAAAUGGGCCAUGCGAACUCAAUUUGUGCCACCAUCAUAUCAGCGUACCUUGCUCAACAAAUUAACACGUUUAGAUCAGGGCAAAAAUUCUGUAGAAGAGUACUAUCAAGAAUUACAAACUGGUAUGAUGCGUUGUGGCAUAGUGGAAGAUAAUGAAGCUUUACUUGCACGAUUUUUCAGCGGGUUAAAAUUGGAGAUUCAGACCAUUCUUCGAUAUAAGUCAUACCAUACUAUAACUCGUUUGUUCCACCUUGCUUGCAAUGCUGAAUGUGAAGUGCAGGAUCGGAGAGAGGCGACCCGAACUAACUUUUCUGCAGGGCGUUCUAAUUCUUGGAGAACAUCGCCUUCUUCGUCACAGGCUGCUGCACCAUCCACUUCCACGCCCACACCCACGCGAGCUACAACUACUACAUCGCCUCUUGUUGCCGCCAAGCGUGCCUCCGCUGGACCCGCACCAAGUUCUUCUUCCUCCAUGGCGUCUACGGGCAAAACCAGCCAGAUUCAAUGCCGCAAAUGCAGCGGGCUUGGCCACUUUGCGCGUGACUGCCCCUCCGCUCGUGUGAUGAUCGCUCUUGAGGACGGUGGUUAUGAUUCCGCCAGUGAUUAUGAUGAGGACACUUUAGCUCUUCUUGCACAUGAGGAGCAAUGCGCUGCAGCAAACAAGGAGCACGAUUCCCACUUUAUGGCUGCCGAAGAUGCUGAGAAAUACCCAAGCUUAAUUGCACAGCGAGUUUUGAGUGCACAAGUGACGAAGGCCGAACCAAAUCAGCGCCAUAAUUUGUUCCAUACCAAGGGUGUGGUAAAGAUCGAUGUGUCCGCAUUAUUAUUGAUGGUGGGAGCUGUAACAAUUUGGCAAGUAUGGAGAUGGUGGAGAAGCUUUCUCUCACGACACGACCCCACCCUCGUCCGUACCACAUUCAAUGGUUUAACAACAGCGGCAAAGUUAAGGUAACACGUACUGCUCGUGUGCAUUUUACUAUUGCCGCAUAUGCUGAUUAUGUUGAGUGUGAUGUUGUACCUAUGCAAGCAUGUGCUCUUUUACUUGGUAGACCGUGGCAAUUUGACACAAAUUCUGUACACCAUGGUAGCACAAACCAAUACUCUCUUGUUCAUAAUGAUAAGCCAAUUGUGCUACUUCCUAUGUCUCCUGAAAGUAUUUUAAAAGAUGAUCUUGCUAGAGCUAGUAGAGCACAUAAUGAGGAGAAAAAGUUGAGUGAAAAUCAGAUGGUUGCUAAGGAACUUAUGCCUUCUAAAAGUACUUCCAAAUCUGCACCUAAACAUGCUAAUGAAAUUCGUUUGAAGAGUACUUGCUUGCUUGCUAGCAAAUCUGAUAUUUCUGAAAUUGAUGUGAGUACUACCACAUGUUAUGCUAUUGUUUGCACAGAGGUCCUGUUUUCAUUCGAGGAGAUGCCUCCCUCUUUGCCACCUGCUGUUGCUAACAUUUUGCAGGAGUUUGUGGAUGUUUUUUCACAAGAUGUACCUCCAGGACUGCCACCUAUUCGCGGAAUCGAGCAUCAAAUUGACUUAAUUCCUGGAGCAUCACUGCCCAACCGUGCGCCCUAUCGUACCCAACCCGGAGGAAACCAAAGAAAUUCAGUGCCAAAUUCAAGCACUACUCGACAAAGGUCACAUUCGUGAGUCUCUUAGCCCUUGUGCUGUGCCUAUUAUUUUGGUUCCAAAGAAAGAUGGUUCAUCGCGCAUGUGUACUGAUUGUCGCGCUAUCAAUAAUAUUACCAUUCGUUACCGUCAUCCUAUACCGCGAUUAGAUGAUAUGCUAGAUGAAUUGAGUGGCUCCACCAUAUUCUCUAAAGUUGAUUUGCGUAGUGGUUACCACCAGAUUCGUAUGAAGUUAGGAGAUGAAUGGAAAACAGCAUUUAAAACAAAGUUCGGUUUAUAUGAGUGGUUAGUAAUGCCUUUUGGUUUAACUAAUGCUCCCAGCACAUUCAUGCGAUUAAUGAAUGAAGUUUUACGUGCUUUUAUUGGGCGUUUUGUAGUGGUAUACUUUGAUGAUAUUCUUAUUUAUAGCACAUCGUUAGAGGAACAUUUGGAUCAUUUACGUGCUGUUUUUAAUGCUUUACGCGAUGCAUGUUUGUUUGGUAAUCUCGAGAAGUGCACCUUCUGCACCGAUCGAGUUGCUUUUCUUGGCUUUGUUGUGACAGCGCAGGGCAUUGAAGUUGAUCCUACCAAGAUUGAGGCCAUUUCGAGUUGGCCUCCACCAAAAACGGUCACACAAGUGCGGAGUUUUCUUGGACUCGCGGGGUUCUAUAGGCGCUUUGUCAAAGAUUUCGGAUCCAUUGCUGCGCCGCUGAACGAGCUUACAAAGAAAGAUGUUCCCUUUGUUUGGGGUGAUGCACAACAAGACGCUUUCAUGUUGCUGAAAGACAGGUUAACUCAUGCUCCUUUAUUACAACUUCCUAAUUUCAAUAAGACAUUUGAACUUGAAUGUGAUGCUAGUGGUAUUGGAUUGGGAGGUGUCUUGUUACAAGAGGGUAAACCUGUUGCAUAUUUUAGUGAAAAACUAAGUGGGCCAAAUCUGAAUUAUUCUACUUAUGAUAAAGAGUUGUAUGCGCUGGUUCGGACAUUAGAAACUUGGCAACAUUAUUUAUGGCCUAAAGAAUUUGUUAUACAUUCUGAUCAUGAAUCUUUGAAGCACAUUCGUAGUCAAGCUAAGUUGAAUAAGCGUCAUGCAAAAUGGGUUGAAUUUAUUGAAUCUUUUCCUUAUGUUAUUAAACACAAAAAGGGUAAAGAUAAUGUUAUUGCUGAUGCUUUGUCACGCCGUUAUACCAUGUUAUCUCAGCUUGAUUUUCGCAUUUUUGGAUUGGAAACUAUCAAACAACAAUAUGCGCAUGAUGUUGAUUUUAAAGAUGUAUUGCAGAAUUGUAAAGAAGGGAAAACUUGGAACAAAUUCGUCCUCAAUGAUGGAUUUGUGUUCCGUGCUAACAAACUAUGUAUUCCGGAUAGUUCCGUUCGUCUUUUGUUGUUGCAGGAGGCGCAUGGAGGAGGUUUAAUGGGUCACUUUGGUGUGAAGAAAACGGAGGAUAUACUUGCUACACAUUUCUUUUGGCCGCGGAUGCGUAGGGAUGUGGAGAGAUUCGUUGCUCGCUGCACGACAUGUCAAAAAGCUAAGUCACGCCUUAAUCCACAUGGUUUAUAUAUGCCUCUUCCUGUUCCUAGUGUUCCUUGGGAGGAUAUUUCGAUGGACUUUGUUUUAGGCUUGCAUCGUACACAGAAGGGGAGGGAUAGUAUUUUUGUCGUUGUGGAUAGAUUUUCCAAGAUGGCACAUUUUAUUCCUUGUCACAAGAGUGAUGAUGCUGCACAUGUUGCUGAUUUGUUCUUUCGUGAAAUUGUUCGUUUGCAUGGCGUGCCAAAUACUAUUGUUUCAUAUCGUGAUACCAAGUUUCUUAGUCACUUCUGGAGAUGUUUAUGGGCUAAGUUGGGGACUAAAUUGCUGUUUAGUACUACAUGUCAUCCCCAAACUGAUGGACAAACCGAAGUGGUCAAUAGAACAUUGUCUACUAUGUUGAGGGCUGUUUUAAAGAAGAAUUUAAGAUUGUGGGAAGAAUGUUUACCUCAUAUUGAAUUUGCAUAUAAUCGUUCGCUGCAUUCUACCACUAAGAUGUGCCCUUUUGAGAUUGUGUAUGGUUUUGUUCCUCGUGCACCUAUUGAUUUAUUGCCUUUACCAUCUUCGGUGCAAAAUAAUUUGGACACUUCACAACGUGCAGAAUUAAUCUUGAAGUUGCAUGCUACUACUAAGGAAAAUAUAGAACACAUGAAUGCUAAGUUUAAAACUGUUGGAGAUAAGGGCCGAAAGCAUGUUGUGUUUGAUGUUGGCGAUCUCGUUUGGUUGCACUUGCGCAAAGAUCGUUUUCCUGAUUUGCGCAAAUCAAAAUUGAUGCCACGGGCUGCUGGUCCUUUUAAGGUGUUAGAACGAAUUAAUGAUAAUGCAUAUAAACUUGAGCUUCCUGCAGAUUUUGGUACGGUAAGUCUGACAUUUCACAUUGCAGAUUUGAAGGCAUAUUUGAGAGAAGAAGAUGACAUUGCGUCGAGGACGACUUCAUUUCAAGAGGGGAGGAUGAUGAGGACAUCCCACAUGUUGGUACACCCGCAGCACCUACAGUCACAUUACAAGGACCUAUCACAAGAGCUCGCGCACGCCAACUUAAUUAUCAGGUACUUUCGUUUCUUGGAACGAUUCUUCACAUACAUGAGAAUAUGAUGCUGCCUAAAUCAGAUGUGUUUGUCACACUUAGGAAUGAUGGACCUAGCAUGGAUGAGAGGGACAAGCAUUGGAGCAUGAUCACGCAUGGAGAUGAAGGCAGCAAGCGUGUGAGGACUGACGAUGGCGCCGCAACGGGAGAUUUCAGAACGUUGAAGCCACCAUAAUGAGAGAUGAAGACGUGGGCGAAAUAUAGAGCUUUUCCCUUCAUAUUUUCGUCCACAUAAUUAUAUGGUGCUACGUCACCUUUUAAGUUUGGGCUAGGCCCAUGUAAUUUUCGUCCACAUACAUGGGCUGAACUUUUGGAGUCCGUAUAGGUGAAGGAAACCAACCUAGGGUGUUCGGCCUCCUUUCCCAAGGCUGGCCGCAUACCCCUCUAGUCCUCCAUAUAUACCCCCGUUAGGUCUUCGUUUAGACUCGGAUUUUGUUUAGUUUGAGACUUAGCUAUUCGCUACUCUCGCCAUAAGCACAAGUGUCAAAUCGACCUUCUGUACUACGCGCUUGCAGAAUCCCAUCAAUAAAGCUUGACCUUUAUUCGCAAUAUCUUGAUUGCAUCUAUAAUUCUUGCUUGUUCUUCGGUUGCAUGCAGGGAUUGAUCCUUCGUGAUCAGGUUGAUCUAGCUCCGACGUGGUCAAUAACCUCGGAAGUUGGUGUAGCGAUCGCUAAGGCGCAACGUCUCGCACGUUUGUAGCCGGUUCGUCAACGUCGACAUCCACCCAAAAAUCGAUAGUUACCGUCUCAUCGAAAGAUCGGGCACCUUUCCCCUAUCAUCCUCACCGGUGUCAGCUGCGGCAGCGGCCUUGACGACCUCGCCAACACACCAGGCCGCGUCCUUGAGGUCGCACCUGAUGGAGAGGACUCCGUACACGGAUGGCAUCUUCAUCACGCCGUAGACGCAAUGCGUCGCCGCCAUGAACUUGAUCAACGUCGGCCGACCAAGGAUCCCGUUGUAGGGCAACGGGGUGUGCGCCAAGUCUAACACUAUGUGCUCGGUCCUGAAUGCUUCUUGGGACCCGAAGGUCACCGGCAGCGUGAUGCGCCCCAGGGGGCGCACGAUCCCAAGUUUACUCCCCGGAACGGGCAGUGGGCUUUAGCUGCUCGGCGCUCCUCAUGACGCUGCUCGCGCUGCUGCUUGAUACCCUGCAGGAUGCGGCAGUCCUACGCGCCGUGGGUAGAGUCGGCGUGGAUGGGGCAGCAGGACGCGUCGACUUGCUUGUUGCCAGACCCGCCACCGGGCGAGGCCUUCUUCGCGGGCCUCGGGGUAGGCCCUGAGUCCGUGGCGAGGACUUGCUUCCCGCUGCGCUUGCAGGAACUCUUCUUCGGCGAACCCUCUCCUGGGCUCGCGGCAGCUUUAGCAGCAAGUUCGGGCGAUAAGCGCCCUUCCUCGGCCAUGGCACACUUGUGCGCCAGGGCGUACAGAUCCUGCGUUGUCCGGAUCCGAUGCGUGCUCAGCUUCUCGUGCAUCUUGGGGGCGCGGACGUUGAUGGCGAAGGUGUUGACGAUGGCAGCAGCCUCCGCCUCCGGGAUGGAGUAGGAGAGGUUCAAGAAGCGAUUGAUGAAGUUCCGCAUCAUCUUUCCCGGCUUCUGCACCACGGUGUGCAGCUCCGCCAUGGUUCCCGGGCGCUUGUAGCCGCCCUGGAACGCGCUCACGAACUGCUCAUGCAGGUCCGCCCAAGUAGCGAUGGACUCGGCAGGUAGGUUGAGCAGCCACGUCCUCGCUGAUCCCUUAAGGACCAUCGGGAACCAGUUGGCUCUGACCUUGUCGUUGGCGCCGAUGGCAUGCAUCCCCAACGUGUAGGUUAGGAGGAAAUCCUUGGGAUUCAUGGUCCCAUCGUUCGUACCGAGCGGGGGUGCUCGGAACUUGCGGGGCCAACCCUUUGACCGUUGGGGGGGGUCCUCCUUUUAUAGCCAAGGGGAUACCUGCCACGGUGCAUGGAUUACAAGUGGCGAGCAGUGAGCUUGGGCAGCUCCUCCUUGGUGCGCUGGCAUGCAGGCAAGAGCGCCAACCCCGCGACUAGGGGUCUAAAGCCUAAAAUUUAGCCCUGGGCAAUCCCUGUUUUCCUGACUAGACGGAUAACCCCCCCUCCUGUCGGCUCAUUAAAUGCGCCGUGCGCCUCACUCCUUGUCGUGGCGAACCUGCACACUAGGCGCCUGCCGCGCGCCCAUGUGGCGCUGCUGCUCUAUUCACUCGGCCCCGCCUCGCGGCGGCAACCUAUCCCCGGGAACGCCUCCUCCCGGCAAGGUACCUCCCGGGAAGCGCCCAGGCGAGAUUAUUCCCCGAAGCCCCGCUAGUCCUGCGGGGCUGGUAGCUUGCCGGGCAGCCUGCACGUUGCCGCCCGGGGUGCGAUCCUCCUGGGAACCAAGCGAUGCGACCCACGCGUUGAGCAGCGGUGGCACCUCGGGUGCCACCGGUGCAACAGCGGGUCCCACUGGUCAGUGAUGGGGCGGCUUGGGCGUGGGGGGGGGGGGUCCGGUUCGGCUCGGGUUUUUUUUUCUUUUCUUUUUCCUAUUUUCUGUUUUUGAACCUCAAAAUUGAUUCAAAGCUCCAAAUCACUCCAAAUAAAAUGCGAAUUUUUUUGUAAAAUCAUAUUUUCAUAUGAUCUAACUUUUGGAACAAGAAUUUCCUCAACAUAAAAUAUUUAAAAAUACAUUUCCCUAUAAAAUGGCUUAUAGGGCUAUCGAGAUAAAUUAUUUUCAAAGCAAUUUCAAAAGCCAAAUUACGGGAUAGCUUUUUAUAUGGAUUAAAUCCCUUUUUACCCAAUACCCUCAUGGGUUAAAAUGCAAAUACUCAAAACCAAGAAUCAAAGCCCAAAUUCAAAUAAAAGCAUUUUUGAAUAGGGGUUUUCUAGGUAAAUUUCAGGGUUUUCAAAGUGAUUAAAUGCAAGGGCGACAUGAUGCUAUUGAUAUGCAAUGCAUAUGAAGGGUUUUGAAAAUUGAGAUGUUACAACCGGAGGCGUCCUAACGGAGUUAUGCUCCUCUGUGUGCCCCAGGAGGAAGGGCGCACGCUGCGGAGGAUAUCCAUCGAGGCACAUGCUCGCACCAUGUGGCCUCCAGGGCGCUAGCUGGAAAAGCAUUCCGGCACGGCUUCUACUGGCCAACAGCAUUAGCCGAUGCCGAACAACUAGUCAAGACCUAUGAAGCAUGCCAGUUUCACGCCAAGAAGAGCAACCAGCCAGCGCAAGCCCUGCAAGUCAUCCCGUCCUCGUGGCCGUUCGCGGUCUGUGGGCUGGACAUCGUCGGGAAAUUGCCGAGAGCAGUUGGCGGCUACGAGUACUUGCUUGUGGCCAUGGACAAGUUCUCAAAGUGGAUCAAGGUGGAGCAGGGCCAUGCUCUCUUGACGCUGGCUCCCGAGCUUCGCGUAGUUGCGGCGAGCGAGCUCGGUCUCCGCCUUCUGGCUCCGGAGCUCGUCCUUCAGCCAGGAGAUCUUCGACCUCUUCUCCGAGUUUUCCUCGUCAAGCUGUCGAAGAUCGCCCCUCGCGACGUCCAGCUCGCCCUUCAGGGCUGCGGUCGCGGCCUUGAGCUACUCCUGGAACUCACAUUCUCGGGUUUGGAGCUGCUCCUGCAACUCCCUCUCCCGGGACGUGGCUCGCGUCGCCGCAGCCUGGGCUGCCGUGGCCUGCUCCCCGAGUUGCUGCCGUAGCUACUGGAUCUCGGAGGAGUAGCUGGAGAUGAGGCCGCUCUUCUCAUCGAGGCGCUCCUGGAAGCCCCUUAGUGCUUCCUAGUGCUACCCCUCGGCGCGAAGGCGCGCCGCCUCUAGCGACUCGAGCACCGGCGGAUGCUCCCGCGCAACUCUUGUAGCUGGCGCUGGACGUGCACUUUCGGGACCGAGGGCUCGGAUGCCCUGGGCCGGGCUAGCUGUGUCACUCGGAUCUCCUCCUGGAGGCACGCCAGCUCCUGCCGACGCUCGUACACCUCCUCUCGCGCGCCGUCUAGCCGACCCUGGGCUGCCGAGAGCUAUUGGCGCACCUUGUUGUAGCAGCUGACGAAUCCUGGUUGCUACCGCUUGAUGCCCUCUAUGAUCUCGUGCCCUUGGUCAAAGAUGCGGGGGUCCCAGUUUAGCGGACCCCAGCCAGCGCCCGCGAUCGCACCGGAACUCGAGGAGGCACCUGCAGCCACCGUUUGUGACCGCACCACCUCCUUGGGUGUCGGCAAAGGCGACCGCGCCCUGCUGCUUCCACCCGUCGUGAGCUCAUCCCUUGCCUCCGCCUGGGGCUGGGCGGCUGCUCGCGGCUGGCCUCUGUCGUGGUGUGAUCGAGGGGCUCAGAUCCGGUGUCCGCUGCCUCCCCGGUUAACACCGGGUCGGUGGCUUGGACACCGGGAGAGUCCCCUCCGUCCCCGCUCUGUCCGGUGGGGGGUUGCUCCACCGUCACCUCGGGCGUGGCUUUCGCGUCGGUCACGGUGCCCCCCUGGGGUGAGUUCUGCGGCUUCCACUCCCGCGGUUGCGGGGGCAGAAGGGGCGGCAAGGAGAAUUGUUAAGAAGAAGUGAAGUGUAACGCAUAAAGGAGCAGCGGGGGGGAGUGCUGCGGCGGGCUUGUCGUACCUUGCACAGUGUCCCCUCCCCCUGCGUCGGACGCCUCUUGGCGCCCGCAGUCGAUCGUUGCCGGGUCGGCCCCGGCAACGCUUCCCGGACCUGGAAGAGAACAGGAAAACGUGUUAGGCGCUGAAAAGGGAAAGAAAGAGAGAAGUACCCAAUCAGGUUGGCAGGCGCACCUGCUCCCGGGGCCGUCGGCUUGCUUGCGGUCUGGGCGGCGUCGCCCACACCCGCUGCUGCUGCCGUCGCCGCGCCCCCCGUCCUGACCUGGGGGCUUCCCCCACUCGUGCCAGGGGCUGUGCGCGGCUUCUUGCUCAAGGCCGCCAGCGGGGAGCUCACCGGUCCUCUCUUCCCCGCCGGCCUGUGAUACGGGUGCGGGUGGCCCGAUCUUUCGAUGAGAUUGGUAACUCUCGAUUUGGGUAGGAGGUGACGUUGACGAUCCGACUACGGCCUAGGAGGCAGCGCCUUAGCAAUCGAUACACCAACUCCAAAGGGUUAUUGAUCACGCGGGGGCACGAUCAACCUGACCACGAAGGUCUUUGUUCCUGCAAGCAAUCGAAGAACAAGCAAGAACAAGAUAAAUAGCGGAUGCAAUCUAAAAUUGCGAAUAUACUAUAUCAAACCAAUGUCUCAACGAGACGAUAAGUUGGGGUUCCGAAAGCGGUAAAACAGGUGGUCUAACCGACACACGCGAUUACACGAAGUAGUAGCGAUGGCUAACUUUUAACUAAACAAAACCCAAGGCUCCUUAGGGGGGCUCAUGGGGUAUAUAAAGGAGGAGAGAGAGAUAUUUUCGUCCACCUUGAAUAAGGAGUUCGAAAUCCAACUCUAUCUCUAACUUUCCUAACAAACUACAACUCUUUAGGAAACAGAAAAACAGAUCCGUCAGCUUGUUUUGUCCGUCACGGUCAGCACGAGUCGAAUCUCUUGAUGGGGCCAGAUCCGUUGGAAAGGUCUUGUAAUUACCUUUCCAACAAGUACUUGUUUGCUUGAUUUGGACUCCGGAUGCGGCCUGGGUGAUUAAAACAAAUUCGGGUCUCCUGGCAGCUCGGACCCGAAUCGGAUUCAACUUUAAUUCGUGAUAUCUUUCUCUAGCAAGCUCCGAAUCAUGUGCCGUUUGAUUUGUUGGAAAGUACACUUGAAAUCCUUCCCUCUCAGCUGUAUGAAUGCUUGAUUCUUGUUGGCCCUCCCGUUCGCCUCCACCGUAUCUCAUCUUGACCUUGGACUUGAAAAGCUCGACAAGAUGCCUACGUAAUAAAACGAGACAAGAUAGUAGUAGCUCCGCCUCUUCAUAAGUAUGACAAUGAAAACAAUUACUACUUGAAUUCACCUGAUUAUAAAUCUUGUCAAAUAUUAUAGAAUUGAGGGUAUCAAAGGUCGUAUCCAUGGUUAGCAUGUCCAUAUCAUCCUCCCUUUCUUGAAAGGAAAGCCGUCCUCGGCGUCGUUUAUGCUGAAAAUAUGCUAACAAAAGAGACAAGGUAUGCGCAUGGUAUAUGUAUAUAUCGUUAUUUUUAACUCCACUCCCAUGUUGCACAAUUAAUGUUUUAUAACACAAUCUCAUGAGAUAAUUAGUCAGACAAUCGUCAUGAAUAUCAUUCCAGCAAGAAGAUUGACAAUGUGUUUUGCAUAUAUAAGUGAAACAAUAUCUUGUAUUUGGUUUGCACCGCUCACCAUUAUACCAUCCCAACACUGGAGCAUAAUAAUUAAUAAUGUUACCCAAAUUAGUUACUACAAGAUGCUGAAAUUUAGAGCAUGUCAAAGCACUAAUAUUCGAACAAUCGUGUAAAGAACUAAUUGGCAAAUAAUCAACACCAAUAUUGGAGGUCAUAUCAAAAUGGUUAAGCAUAUGCAACAUAUUAUUUUCUCUCAAAUCAAGAAAGUUAUCACAAGCAAUGCAAAUCUGAUGCACCCAAAAUUUAUUGUUCACGUCAUGUUCUCCAAUUAAUUGAAUAGUGUAUCCAUGGGCAUUAGCAAAAGAUUUUGAAAUUGUUAACUCAGAACCUUUAUCCCUUGCAUGUGACAAAUAUAUAGGUGCAUCAAGUUUAAUAGAACACAAAGAAUUAUUAGGCGGAACCAUAGGAAACACUUCUUCAUGUUUAAUUAAUUCAAUGCAACAUAAAUCAAAUUUAAUCAUCGCGUCACAAGUCUGUUCCAAAACAGCAGGUAACUCAUCACAUAAAUCAUUAUCAUUUGAAUCAAUGGGUGCGCUCAAAUCGGCAAGUAAGUCAACAGUUUUACAAGGGGCAGCAUGGUCAUCACAUAUCUCAUUUAUUUCAACACACGUCAUAUUUAGUUCAGCAACACAAACCUCUGUAACAUUACCUUGUGGGCUCAACACGUUUCUUGUACACCUUCUCUCCAAUUUCCUCUCCGCUUCACGAGCAAGAUUAAGCAAACACAAUAGAGAGUCGUAUUUUCCGUAUUCAAUUAUGUAAGAAAUAUCAAAGUUAAGCCCACAAUAAAACCUAUCCAUUUUUCUUUGUUCGGUUUCAUCUAAACCAGAUCGCAAGGUUAAAAUUUGGAACUCAUGGUAGUAAUCAUCAACAGUUUUAUCAUCUUGUGUCAAACGUCGUAAUUUGGAACGCAACUCAUAAGCAUAACUUGGAGGAACAUAUGUUUCUCUCAUGAUUUUCUUCAUAUCAAUCCAAGUGUGAGGUAUUUUGUUUUCUCUAACUAUCUCACACCACCAUGAUAAUGCAUCAAAACGAAAUUUACUACUAGCAAUUUGGACCUUACGACUAUCUAGUACAUGGAAGCAUGUGAAUUGUUCAGUUAAAGCUAGCUCCCAAUCUAUAUAUGUUUCAGCAUCAUUUUCCCCCUCAAAGAAAGGUAAUUUAAUUGUAUUAGAAGGAUUGUUUUGUACCGUUGCCGUGGCAUUAUCAACAAGAGGCGUCGAGGAUGGCCGUGGUGAAAAGCACUCAUCGCGGUCACGGGAUAGCAUCGGUCUAGUUGCCAUGCUUCGUGUAAGUCCUGUCAUGGUUAGUAGAAAACAAGAAAUAAAUCACAGUAAUAUGUUCCUAUCAACUACUAGGAUAUGGCUACAAGUCGCUCAACUCUCAAGCUAAAAAUCAAGUUCUUACAAGUUCUUACCAUGCAAAACAGGAAGGUGAUGGCCAGCGGCGUGACCAAGCCCUCCGAAGAUUAAAUGUAUCAAUGCCUCGGUAACAAACCAACCUAGGUGUAGAAUCUGUGGAGCUUGGAGGCUUUUGUGAGUAGCAAGGAAUAGCAAAUAAUCAAAUCAGCAAUGCAAAGUUGAAAAUAUGCUCAAUAAUGCUAGUCCUAGCUGCUGGAGUCGAUAAGAACGAAUUACAGAAAUAAUCUAAGCCUAGAUACUGAAGAAGGUAGGAAUAGAUAGAUCAAAAGAUGGCACAACAAGUAAAUCCCUGGGAUUUUUUUUUCUUUUUUUUUGUGGCCUUCUGUUUGGCUUCUUAUUCUUUUCUUCUUCUUUUUUUUUUCUUUUUUUUUUAACCCCAGAAACUCACGCAAAAGAACGACCGGAAAACUGUACGUCGGUCUGUCGAAGAACAGCAAAGGCUGCAGUAAGAAAAAUCCAGAAAAAUAUGGAAAAAUAUGGGUUAGAAGGGUAUCGACACAAGCUUUCCAGCAAGGGCAAGAUCACUCAAAACGGAUGUCGGACAAUGGAGAAAACUGAGAAACACCGGGCUGCAGUGACGCCGGAAAACGGAUGCAGAAACUUGGAAGCUCAGAAAGUCCACCUUAAAAACCGAAUUUGGGGGUCAAAGUGCAGGGCAACGCCCUGGAUAUUUCCUGAUGCGCCUCGUCCUGAGCUUUCCAAAAAGUCCAAGAACGUCCAAAUCCGAGUUGGUACGCAAAAGAUACGCCCGUUUUACUGAACACGGGUCAAACCCACCCGAAACUAAAAUUCUACUCGGACUCGGGUCCGAAACUGACUCGAACUCUUUUUUUUUUUUCGUUUUUUUUUCUUUCUUUCUUUCCUUUUUUUUUUUUCUUUCCUUUUUUUUUUCAAAUUUCCAAACAACUUGAUCUCUAAACAAAAUUCGAUCUAUGAUGAAACACUUUCCAAAAGCACUCCUUAUUGGACUCGGACUCGGAUUCGCGGCUGAAAACUAUAACUUGCCGACUCGGUGUAGGACUCGAAGAGGGACUCGGUGUAGGACUCGAUGAGGGACUCGGUGUAGGACUCCAAGAGGGACUCGGUGUAGGACUCCAAGAGGGACUCGGUGUAGGACUCAAAGAGGGACUCGGUGUAGGACUCCAAGAGGGACUCGGUGUAGGACUCGAAGAGAGACUCGGUGGAAGAUAUGGUGGCGACGGGAGAUUAUGGCGGUGGUGUGGCAGGAAGUUUAGCGGCGGAAGAUUGAUGAAGGAAACCUGCGUCACACGAAGAACAAGAAAACCAAAAGCAAGUUCGAUCUAGUAGAAAAAAUCUGAAAAACGAUCCAAUCUAAUCCAGCAACUCGACACGAUUAAUGCAGCAAAGAUUCAACAAUGCAAAUACUAAUGUGAAAAUUGCAAGGCUCAGAUUGGUUCUAGGACAAGGUAACUAAUUCUAAUUUUUGUUUGGCUUUUUUCUGGACGAUAGGUAAAAACAGAUCUAAACUACGGAUAAACUGGAAAAAUCUCACCGAGCAACCUUAAGCUCUGAUACCACGUGAUACGGGUGCGGGUGGCCCGAUCUUUCGAUGAGAUUGGUAACUCUCGAUUUGGGUAGGAGGUGACGUUGACGAUCCGACUACGGCCUAGGAGGCAGCGCCUUAGCAAUCGAUACACCAACUCCAAAGGGUUAUUGAUCACGCGGGGGCACGAUCAACCUGACCACGAAGGUCUUUGUUCCUGCAAGCAAUCGAAGAACAAGCAAGAACAAGAUAAAUAGCGGAUGCAAUCUAAAAUUGCGAAUAUACUAUAUCAAACCAAUGUCUCAACGAGACGAUAAGUUGGGGUUCCGAAAGCGGUAAAACAGGUGGUCUAACCGACACACGCGAUUACACGAAGUAGUAGCGAUGGCUAACUUUUAACUAAACAAAACCCAAGGCUCCUUAGGGGGGCUCAUGGGGUAUAUAAAGGAGGAGAGAGAGAUAUUUUCGUCCACCUUGAAUAAGGAGUUCGAAAUCCAACUCUAUCUCUAACUUUCCUAACAAACUACAACUCUUUAGGAAACAGAAAAACAGAUCCGUCAGCUUGUUUUGUCCGUCACGGUCAGCACGAGUCGAAUCUCUUGAUGGGGCCAGAUCCGUUGGAAAGGUCUUGUAAUUACCUUUCCAACAAGUACUUGUUUGCUUGAUUUGGACUCCGGAUGCGGCCUGGGUGAUUAAAACAAAUUCGGGUCUCCUGGCAGCUCGGACCCGAAUCGGAUUCAACUUUAAUUCGUGAUAUCUUUCUCUAGCAAGCUCCGAAUCAUGUGCCGUUUGAUUUGUUGGAAAGUACACUUGAAAUCCUUCCCUCUCAGCUGUAUGAAUGCUUGAUUCUUGUUGGCCCUCCCGUUCGCCUCCACCGUAUCUCAUCUUGACCUUGGACUUGAAAAGCUCGACAAGAUGCCUACGUAAUAAAACGAGACAAGAUAGUAGUAGCUCCGCCUCUUCAUAAGUAUGACAAUGAAAACAAUUACUACUUGAAUUCACCUGAUUAUAAAUCUUGUCAAAUAUUAUAAAAUUGAGGCUAUCAAAGGUCGUAUCCAUGGUUAGCAUGUCCAUAUCAGCCUGAGGCAAGAAGGGUUAUUCAUCGAAGUGCUGCCAGUGAAAACAAGAACUAUGGUUUAAGGAAGAGAGCUUACCUUGCUGGGUUCAACACCAGCUUGCAGUCGGCAAAGAUUCCCCCAGCGGGAAGCGCCUUCCGCACUGGCGGAGCGCUCGCGCUACCACCAGAACCCCCCACCACGCCGGGGGCUGAGCCUCGGGCCGGUGGGCUGCCCCCGCGCUAGCUCCGUUGCAUGGCGGCGCAGGGGCACGGCAUCGUCGUUGUCGCCGUCCCCUUCCGCGGGGCUGUCGGCACCUCAGGACCCCUCGUCCCCGGAGGUGUCGGCAACGGCGCGGGAGGCGUCGUGGCCGGCGGAGGCGCCCGUCGGCCCCUCGGAAUCCCCGUCCGAGUCGUCCUCCUCCACCUCGCUCUCAGCCACCGGUUGCUUCCCGGUCCGAGCCCUUGGUCGCGGGGGAGGGCUACUUGACGGGGUCCCCGCCAUGAUGCCCCACUCGUUGCAGGGUGGGUAGUUGCUGGCUCCUGGGUUGGCGACGUUCGCGUGGAGCGCGAUCACACCCGGAGGAAGCCUGACGAAGGGGGAGUUGUAGCCGGUGAUCCCCUUGAGCCACGUGCGGAACUGCUCCAUCGUCAGCCCGCCUCGCUGUAGCCUCAUCUGGUCAUCUUCCCCCGAGUAGGUCCAGACCGGGUGAGUCUGGUGCUGCCGCGGUGUGAUGCGCCUCGCGAUGAAGCUCUGGGCCACGUCCCGAUCUGUGAGCCCCGCACGCAGCAGCGCAACGAUCUUGUUGCAGAUCGGCACGAGCUCGGCGUGCUUGGCGUCAUGGUCCCGCCAGUCGCGAGACUUCUUCGGCAACGUCGUGGGCUUGGUAUAGGCCUCGUCGUGCUUCUUGAUGUAGAGCCAGCACCAGUCCGCGCUCCACUCCGCCUCAAUCUUCCGGUCCUCCGUGACGAUACACUCGGAUUUGAGCCCAUCCCGGAACCGGGAUGAGACCCCGAAAGACAUCGCCUCGCCCUUCUCGAUGCGAGGAUAGUAGUCGUUGUGGAACAAUGCCACGGACGUCAUCACCCACACGAACGCCUCGCGGAGGUACUGGAAGACGGCCAGCUUGAAGUAGGACGUGGGAUGAAUCUGUGCCAGCUGCAAGCGGUACGCAGAGAGGAUGGCAUGGAGGAACAGGGAGUGCGGCGGCACGAGCCCGGAGAGGAUGAACCUCUCGAACACCCGGUAGUAGUGCUCGUCGGGAUCCGACCCGACGAGCAGGAUGCGCGUCGGGACGUGCUCGUUGUGCUUGGUGGCCACCGCCAAGCGCAGCUUCUCCACAGCCUCACCGUUAUAGCCGGGCUUGAAGAACGUGAACUGAGCCCUCUUCUCCUUGUCCCUGCACUCUCGCUCCAACAUUUCUUUCUUGCCGCUCUUCUCUCCCUUGCCGUUGGCGCCCUUGGGACGUGCUGGGCCUUUGGGUACCAUCAGUGGAGGGAGGGAGAAGGAAGGUGGGAGGCUUCUCGAGAGUUGGAGCGCAAAGGGGGCUUGGGGGAGGCAAUGGCAGGAGCUGUGUCGGAGGGGAGUCCCUGUGACGCCACCCUGGGUAUUUAUAUCUGGCAGGCGGAAUUGUAACGGGCACCCCCUCCCCACGAUCGGUAAUCAAGUGCCCUAAAGAUUUGGAGGAAUCAAGGCAGCGUGCGCGACGUGGCCAUAACUCCCUGCUCGUAGAGGGAUUGUGGGGCCAGAGAUCGUGCACCCGCCCCUCCUGCUCCGACGGGAGGAGGCCUAACGGCGGCCUGCGUGGUCGGGUUUCUAGCUUGGCCUGGGGACCCACGCGUCGGAAGGGCGUAGUUCGGCAACCGACCGAGGACGAUACUGCCCGGGAGCUCAAGGUUGCCGGCCCACACCCGAGGGCUACUGUCGUACCAGUGGCCCACGGGGCCCCACUGGCACGGGACGCGUGGGUCGCAACUGAUGGGAUCCUGCAAGGCCGGCUUCCAGGGAUGGGCGAACCCGGGAGGCUACCAGUUCGCUCCCCCGCAACUUGCUGGGCAACAGUACCAGGGCGUUCCCGAGGACCAGGGCUUUGGGAGUCGCAGGUGGGGCCGGAGGAACAAUGGAGACAAGACCACAUAGCGGGCGCAGUGCGUUUAAUGCACCGACAGGAGUCACAUCGGCAGGGCUAGUCUUGCCCAGCAAGUCUAGAGCGGCUACCCUAAGAAAGAUUUUACCUACAAUGCACAGUGGCCUGGGCGCUGCAUGAAGCCCAGCGUGGAUCUACAGUAGAGUAAGUUUUGUGGCAAUGACACGCAUGGAGAUAACGUGUCACACUGCAUGCAUCGGCACCUGUGGUAUCCCCUUGUCUAUAAAAGGAGGACCAAUGCCAUCGGUCAAAGGGUUCGAACCCUAGUCAAUAGCAAGUAGUAUUGCACCCAUUCAUAGCAUAAUCCCUUAGAAGAACAAGUAGCCCACCCGGGAUCCCCCCGGGGCAAUCUGUAAGAACACACAAAUUCGUGAAUACAACAAACAGCAGGACGUAGGGUGUUACACCUCCGGGUGGCCCGAACCUGGGUAAAUCCAAGCAUCUACACUUCGUGUCUUACGUCACGCUGGCGAUUGCCGGAGCGCCUGCCUCGCCCCUCACCGAACAACAAGGGGGUGCCCAGCAGCCCCGGUGCCGGAGACCCGUGCUCCGACACGUAGAUAGCAGUAGAAUAGAUUCUACCGGGUGCGGGACCAGCGCUCCCGGUGGGAGUAGCCCCCGAGUCUGGUGACGACUAUUUGCGGUGGUGAACGGACUCAAGUUAUGUACUCAAGGAUUUGCUUAAACAGGGGUCGUUCUUUUUUGUGGAAAGAACUUUUGUAUAACUAUAAUUACAUCUGAGUGUAAAUUUGAACUUGGAAACUCCCGGUGGGAGUGAUUCUGAAAUCUUUAUCCUUCGUUCAAUCUUGCAACUAUGGAGACGCAAGUAAUAUGUACGGGUGCGCGACCAGCGCUCUCGGUGGGAGUAGCCCCCGGGUCUGGGGUCGACUACGAGUAGUCAAGCGCGGACCCCAGUGAGUUUUUCCUUGAGUAUUCCUCCAUUUACUUGCUCAAAAAAGGCCGAAACCUCAAUGUAAGUCUUCUUAGAGGCAUUGCUGCCGUGUGUUUUGUAGACAAGGACUCCACUAAAUUGGACGCAGCUUGGGAGUGUCCAAGAUAGGGUUCAGAAUCGAUUGGACACAGCCCCCGAGUGUCGGGUGCGUUCAAGGCAAGCAUUUAGAGUCGGUUGGACGCAGCCCCUGAGUGUCGGGUGCGUCCAAGACAAGCAUUAGAGUCAAUUUGGAUGCAGCCCCGAGUGUCGGGUGCAUCCAAAACAAGCAUUGGAGUCGAUUGCACGCAGCCCCCGAGUGUCGGUGAUAGCCUCGAGGGUGUCCCGAUCUUUCGAUGAGAUACCUAAUUAUCGAUUUGGUAGGAGGUGACGUUGACGAUCCGACUACAACCUAGGAGGCAGCGCCUUAGCGAUCGAUACACCAACUCCAGAAGGUUAUUGAUCCCGUGGGGGCACGAUCAACCUGACCACGAAGGUCUUUGUUCCUGCAAGCAAUCGAAGAACAAGCAAGAACAAGAUGAAAAGCAAUCUGAAAUUGCGAAUAGGAGAUAUGAAGGUUCACGAAUCUGAAUACUCAAUAUAGUUGGAGUCUUGAUGACGGUAAAACAGGUGGUCUAACCGACACACGCGAUUACACGAAAGUAGCAAAGGCUAAACUUUAUCUAAUCAAAACCCAAGGCUCCAUAGGGGGGCUCAUGGGGUAUAAAUAGGAGGGGAACUAGGUGGUUUUCGGCCAGGCCCUUGUGGGAGUCCGAAACGGCCUAGGAAUCCUCCUAAAACACAACGAAAACAUCUAAAAAUUGGCUGGACCCUAUUACAUGGCCUUAGGCCCAAUAAAACAAGGUUAUAACCCUCAUCUUUGGCCCAUAGAUACCCAUUGGAGGGGGAAUCCUCCACUUGGCCGAAAUCCCAUUGAUGAAGAGGAUGCGGCCUUCUUCUCAUCUCUUUAUGGCGGUUUCAAUGUUCUGAAAUCAACACUUGAGCUACCUCCCACCACCUUGCUGCCACCUCCAUGGUUUGCUGUCCAACGCUGAUCCUUGAGGUCCAAGCUAGGUCCUUCAUUCCUAAAACACAUAAAAGAACCCAUCUUAGGCAGCAGCAUAUUCUCAUUAAUAUUAAAUGAAAUACCGAGGAACGAAAGUACCUGAUAAUUUAGUUGUCGUGCACGAGCUCUAGUAAUUGGUCCCUGUAUCUCCGGUACUUGAGGUGUAGGUGCUGUAGGGGCUGUGGUUGUAUCAUUAGUUGGGAUGUCCUCAUCAUCCUCCCCUUCUUGAAUCGAAGUCGUCCUCGACGGUAGUUCAUCUUCUUCUCCCAAAUAAGGCUUCAAAUCUGCAAUAUUAAACGUGGGACUAACCCCAAAAUCUGCAGGUAGCUCAAGUUUAUAUGCAUUAUCAUUAAUUUUCGCUAACACCUUAAAGGGACCAUCAGCUCGUGGCAUUAACUUAGACUUGCGCAAAUCAGGGAAACGAUCUUUGCGCAAAUGCAACCAAACAAGAUCUCCAGGUUCAAACACAAUUUGUUUUCUGCCCCUAUCUCCCGCAAGUUUAUACUUAGAAUUCAUGCGCUCAAUGUUCUCUUUAGUCGUCUCAUGCAUUUUUAUUAUAAGUUCAGCACGUUCCUUAGCAUCAAAGUUAACUUUUUCAGAAGUUGGCAAAGGUAACAAAUCAAUUGGUGCACGAGGUAUAAAACCAUAAACAAUUUCAAAAGGGCACAAUUUUGUGGUUGAAUGCAGUGAACGAUUAUAAGCAAAUUCAAUAUGAGGUAAACAUUCUUCCCACAUUUUCAAGUUCUUCUUUAAAACAGCCCUAAGCAUAGUAGAUAAUGUUCUAUUAACAACUUCAGUUUGUCCAUCUGUUUGGGGAUGACAUGUAGUACUAAAAAGCAAUUUAGUCCCCAACUUAGCCCAUAAACAUCUCCAAAAGUGGCUAAGAAAUUUUGUGUCACGAUCUGAAACUAUAGUAUUGGGCACACCAUGCAAGCGAACAAUUUCACGAAAGAAUAAAUCAGCAACAUUUGUAGCAUCAUCGCUCUUAUGACAAGGUAUAAAAUGUGCCAUCUUAGAAAAUCUAUCAACAACAACAAAUAUGCUAUCCCUCCCCUUCUUAGUUCGAGGCAAUCCCAAAACAAAAUCCAUUGAUAUAUCUUCCCAAGGAACAUUAGGAACAGGGAGAGGCAUAUAUAAACCAUGAGGAUUGAGUCGUGACUUAGCUUUUUGACAUGUAGUGCAGCGAGCGAUAAAUCUCUCAACAUCCCGUCUCAUCCGAGGCCAAAAGAAAUGAUCAGCGAGCACAUCUUCGGUCUUCUUCACGCCGAAGUGACCCAUCAACCCUCCUCCAUGUGCCUCCUGUAACAACAAAAGACGAACGGAGCUAUCUGGGAUGCAUAGCUUGUUAGCACGGAACACAAAUCCAUCAUUAACGACGAACUUGUUCCAUGUUCUGCCCUCUUUACAAUGCUGCAAAACAUCCUUAAAAUCUGCAUCAUGUUCAUAUUGUUCUUUUAUAGUCUCCAAUCCAAAUAUCCGAAAAUCAAGCUGAGAUAACAAGGUAUAACGACGUGAUAACGCAUCAGCAAUAACAUUAUCUUUACCCUUCUUAUGUUUAAUAACAUACGGAAAAGACUCAAUAAAUUCAACCCAUUUAGCAUGACGACGGUUCAGCUUUGCUUGACUACGAAUAUGCUUCAAAGAUUCAUGAUCAGAAUGUAUAACAAAUUCUUUGGGCCAUAAAUAAUGUUGCCAUGUUUCUAAAGUCCGAACGAGAGCAUAUAAUUCCUUAUCAUAAGUAGAAUAAUUCAGACUAGGCCCACUCAAUUUUUCACUAAAGUAUGCAACAGGUUUUCUGUCUUGUAACAACACACCUCCUAAACCGAUUCCACUAGCAUCACACUCCAACUCAAAAGUCUUAUUAAAAUCAGGAAGUUGGAGUAAAGGAGCAUGUGUCAACUUAUCUUUCAAUAUGAGAAAAGCUUCUUCUUGUGCAGCGCCCCAUACAUAUGGAACGUCCUUCUUUGUGAGCUCAUUAAGCGGUGCAGCAAGGGUGCUGAAAUCCUUUACAAAGCGGCGGUAAAACCCAGCGAGUCCAAGAAAGCUCCUCACUUGGGUGACCGUUGUUGGAGUUGGCCAGCUUUGAAUAGCGUCGAUCUUGGCCUUAUCAACUUCUAUGCCCUGUGGAGUGACAACAUAGCCAAGAAACGAAACUCGAUCGGUGCAAAAGGUGCACUUCUCAAGGUUACCAAACAAACGUGCAUCUCUCAAAGCAUCAAAAAUAGCACGUAAAUGAUUCAAGUGGUCUUCUAAAGAGCUGCUGUAAAUCAAUAUAUCAUCAAAAUAAACCACCACAAAUCGUCCUAUGAAAGCACGUAAAACUUCGUUCAUUAACCGCAUGAAAGUGCUAGGUGCGUUAGUAAGACCGAAAGGCAUGACUAACCACUCAUAUAGUCCAAACUUAGUUUUAAAUGCUGUUUUCCAUUCAUCGCCUAAUUUCAUUCGAAUUUGGUGGUAACCACUACGUAAAUCAACUUUAGAGAACACGGUAGAGCCACUUAAUUCAUCUAACAUAUCAUCAAGUCUAGGAAUUGGGUGACGAUAGCGAAUAGUAAUGUUAUUAAUAGCUCUACAAUCUACACACAUACGCCAAGAACCAUCUUUCUUUGGUACCAAAAUAACAGGAACAGCACAAGGACUAAGGGAUUCACGAAUAUAACCUUUGUCGAGCAAUUCUUGAACUUGUCGUUGAAUCUCCUUCGUCUCCUCUGGAUUGGUACGGUAGGGCGCACGGUUGGGCAGCGAAGCACCAGGAAUUAAAUCAAUUUGAUGUUCAAUCCCUCGAAUAGGUGGUAAUCCUGGUGGUACGUCUUGUGGAAAGAUGUCGGAAUACUCCUGCAAAACGUGAGUAACAGCAGGGGGCAAAGAGGGAGGCAUAUCCUCAAAUGAAAACAAAGCCUCUUUGCAAAUGAAUGCAUAGCAAACAGAAUUAUUCGUAUCUAACUCAGAAAUAUCGGAUUUACUUGCAAGCAAGCAUGCACCUUUCAAUUUAAUUUCAUUAACAUGUUUCGGUUCAGAUUUGCUAGUAGACGCUUGGUGCUUAAAUUCCUUAGCGACAUUAUGGUUCUCACUAUUAUCCUUCUCUUUGCUCUUUGCUCUACUAGCUCUAGCAAGAUCAUCUUUCACAAUUUGUUCAGGAGUCAUAGGUUUCAAACCAAUUUUCUUACCAGCAUGCAUAAAAGAAUAAUGAUUAGUUCUACCAUGAUGAACAGAAUCUGUAUCAUAUUGCCAUGGACGACCGAGUAACAUAGAACAUGCUUGCAUAGGUACCACAUCACAAUCCACAAAAUCAGAAUAUGUACCAAUAGUAAAGUGUGCACGGACUGUUCUAGUUACCUUGAGCUUACCGCUGUUGUUAAACCAUUGAAUGUAGUAAGGGUGGGGGUGCGGCCUGGUGGUAAGAACAAGUUUUUCCACCAUCUCCGUGCUGGCCAAAUUAUUGCAACUUCCCCCAUCUAUGAUGAUACGAACAGCGCGCUCCUUGAUGACCCCUUUUGUUUGGAACAAGUUAUGCCGCUGAUUUUGUUCGGCGUGGCUCAUUUGGACGCUCAAGGUGCGUUGUGCAAUCAAACUCAAGUACUGAUCAGCGGCUUCAGCUCCCAUUAACUCCUCGUCAUGGUGGGCAGCGGGGUCUUCUUGCUCUUCCUCGGCAAUGAGAGCAUAGGUAGCUUCGUCAAAAUCACUGGCUGAAUCAUAUACUCCGUCUUCACGUAUGAUCAUAACGCGUUUGGUUGGACAGUCCCGCUGAAAAUGCCCGUAUCCUUUGCACCUACGACAUUGGUUAUCUCCGGUCCGUCCGGUGGAAGCAACGGACGCUGCUGAACUUUGUGCAGAGGCAGCGGGUGUAUUUCUUGUUGCUGCUGGUCCAACCUUUGCGGAUGUAGGUGUAGAGGUACUUUGCUUGUUGGUGGAAGUAGUCGGAACAACCGGACGUGUAGGGGGUGCAGCUGGGCGUGUGGAAGGGGCAGCGGGGCUGCGUGCUGCCCAUGAGGAAGUACGACCUGCAGAAAAGUUAGUCCGCGCGUUCGCGUGUCGUCCCUGCACUUCCCUUUCAGCUUUGCAAGCAAUGUGAAACAAUCGAUUGAUAGAAUUAUACUCCUUAUAAUCAACAAUGUCAGCAAUUUCACGAUUUAAACCACCAAAGAAUCUAGCCAUAGCAGCUUCCUCAUUCUCAACUAAACCACAACGUAACAUGUUCUUUUGCAUUUCUUGAUAAUAAUCUUGGACAGAAUUACUACCUUGCCUUAAUUGUUGUAGUUUCUUUAACAAGUCACGCGAAUAGUAUGAAGGAACAUAUCUAGCGCGCAUAAUUCUUUUCAAAUCAUCCCAUGUUGGUGGUAUAGCGUUAGGAUGUGCAAUACAAUACUCAUGCCACCAAACAGAAGCAAAAUCAGUAAACUCACUAGUAGCAGCCCUAACCCUUUUAUUAGCAGGAAAAUCAUGGCAAGUAAAUUUUUGACUCAAUUCUAAUUCCCAUGUAAGGUAAGCAUCAGGGUCAUAUUUUCCAUCAAAAGGAGGAACCUUAAGUUUAAUAGAAUGCAGCGAGUCAUGUUCCUCUCUGUGAGGUCGUGUCGGUCCCAUACCUCGGCGGUUGAAACGAGUUCGGCGAUGAUCACGGUCGUUGUGAUGGUUUACGGCCUCGUCGUGUUCCGUAUCCGCGGAGUAGUCGUCGUCGUUCUCCUCAACCUCGCUUGCGAAGGUACCGUUAUUAGCCGUCCGCUGGUUGUGUGUAUUGUUUCCUCCCGGUGUAGCGAUGGUCGUUGCAGCAAUUGCCGCCAGUUGCUUCGUGAUUUCUGCCAGAGAAGUACUAAUGGUAGCAACAGAAUUCUGUAAAGAUGUUAGCUUGGUAUUUGUUUCAAUGUGCGCGCUCUCCAAGGUUCCAAGUCUCUCAUUCGCAACCCGAACGUCCUCAUCCAGCUCCUCGUUACGGAGCCUAAGCUUGCGAUCAAAAUGUGAAAUAAUGCCCUUUGUGCGUGGAGAGUGGCCUUGUAAAUCAUCAUCAGAACCUGCCAUCGUUAGGAGAAAACAAGAAACAAAUCACAAGGAAAAGUCCCUAUGCACUACUAGGACGUGGGGUUCCAAAGAUCACUCCACUCAACUUUUAAUCAAGUUCUUACUCGUUCUUACCCAGCAAACAGGAAGGUGAUGGCCAGCGGCAAGAACAAGCCCUCCGAAGAUUAGUGUAUCGAUGCCUCGAGGCAAACCAACCUAGGUGUAGAAUCUGUGGAGCUUGGAGGCUUAUGUGAGUAGCAAGGAAAAGCGAAUAAUCAAAUCAGCAAUGCAAAGUUGAAAAUAUGCUCAAAAAUGCUAGUCCUAGUUGCUGGAGUCGACAAGAACGAAUUACAGAAAUUAACUAAGCCUAGAUACUGAAAAAGGUAGAAAGGAAAGAUCAAAUGAAAGGUAAAACAAGUAAAUCUCUGGGGAAUAUUUUUUUUUCUCUUUUUUUUUUCUUUUUGUGGCCUUCUGUUUGGCUUCUUAUUCUUUUCUAUUUUUUUUUUUUUUAUCCCCAGAAACUCACGCAAAAUAAGUUAAGACCGGAAAGCUGCACGUCGGUCUGUAGGAGAAUAGCAAAGGCUGUAGUAAGGAAAACUCAGAAAAAUAUGAGAAAAUUUGGGUUAGAAGCGUAUCAAAACAAGCUUUCCAACAAGUGCAAGAUCACUCGAAACGGAGGUCGGACGGUGGAGAAAACUGCGAUAUACUGCGCUGCCCCGGUCCCGUAAAACGGGUGCAGAAACUUUGGAGCUCGAAAAGUCCACCUUAGAUGCCGAAUUUGAGGGUCAAAGUGCAGGGCAGCGCCCUGGAUAUUUCCUGAUGUGCCUCGUCGUGAGCUUUCCAAAAAAUCCAAGAACGUCCAAAUCCGAGUUGGUAUGCAAAAGAUACGUCCGUUUUACUGAACACGGGUCAAACCCACCCGAAACUAAAAUUCUACUCGGACUCGGGUCCGAAACUGACUCGAACUCUUUCUCUCUUUUUUUUCGUUUUUUUUUUCUUUCUUUCUUCCCUUUUUUUUUUCUUUCCCUUCUUUUUUUUUUUCACAACUUUCCGAACAACUUGAUCUCUGAACAAAAUUCGAUCUAUUAUGAAACACUUUCCAAAAGCACUCUUGAUUGGACUCGGACUCGAACUCGCGGCUGAAAACUAUAACUUGCCGACUCGAUGUAGGACUCGACGAGGGACUCGGUGUAGGACUGGAAGAAGGACUCGGUGUAGGACUCGAAGAGGGACUCGGUGUAGGACUCGAAGAGAGACUCGGUGGAAGAUAUGGUGGCGGCAGAAGAUUAUGGCGGUGGUGUGGCAGGAAGUUUGGCGGCGGAAGAUUGAUGAAGGAAACCUGCGUCACACGAAGAACAAGAAAACCAAAAGCAAGUUCGAUCUAGUAGAAAAAAUCUGAAAAACGAUCCAAUCUAAUCCAGCAACUCGACACGAUUAAUGCAGCAAAGAUUCAACAAUGCAAAUACUAAUGUGAAAAUUGCAAGGCUCAGAUUGGUUCUAGGACAAGGUAACUAAUUCUAAUUUUUGUUUGGCUUUUUCUGGACGAUAGGUAAAAACAGAUCUAAACUACGGAUAAACUGGAAAAAUCUCACCGAGCAACCUUAAGCUCUGAUACCACGUGAUAGCCUCGAGGGUGUCCCGAUCUUUCGAUGAGAUACCUAAUUAUCGAUUUGGUAGGAGGUGACGUUGACGAUCCGACUACAACCUAGGAGGCAGCGCCUUAGCGAUCGAUACACCAACUCCAGAAGGUUAUUGAUCCCGUGGGGGCACGAUCAACCUGACCACGAAGGUCUUUGUUCCUGCAAGCAAUCGAAGAACAAGCAAGAACAAGAUGAAAAGCAAUCUGAAAUUGCGAAUAGGAGAUAUGAAGGUUCACGAAUCUGAAUACUCAAUAUAGUUGGAGUCUUGAUGACGGUAAAACAGGUGGUCUAACCGACACACGCGAUUACACGAAAGUAGCAAAGGCUAAACUUUAUCUAAUCAAAACCCAAGGCUCCAUAGGGGGGCUCAUGGGGUAUAAAUAGGAGGGGAACUAGGUGGUUUUCGGCCAGGCCCUUGUGGGAGUCCGAAACGGCCUAGGAAUCCUCCUAAAACACAACGAAAACAUCUAAAAAUUGGCUGGACCCUAUUACAUGGCCUUAGGCCCAAUAAAACAAGGUUAUAACCCUCAUCUUUGGCCCAUAGAUACCCAUUGGAGGGGGAAUCCUCCACUUGGCCGAAAUCCCAUUGAUGAAGAGGAUGCGGCCUUCUUCUCAUCUCUUUAUGGCGGUUUCAAUGUUCUGAAAUCAACACUUGAGCUACCUCCCACCACCUUGCUGCCACCUCCAUGGUUUGCUGUCCAACGCUGAUCCUUGAGGUCCAAGCUAGGUCCUUCAUUCCUAAAACACAUAAAAGAACCCAUCUUAGGCAGCAGCAUAUUCUCAUUAAUAUUAAAUGAAAUACCGAGGAACGAAAGUACCUGAUAAUUUAGUUGUCGUGCACGAGCUCUAGUAAUUGGUCCCUGUAUCUCCGGUACUUGAGGUGUAGGUGCUGUAGGGGCUGUGGUUGUAUCAUUAGUUGGGAUGUCCUCAUCAGUCGGGUGCGUCCAAGACAAGCAUUAGAGUCGAUUGGACGCAGCCCCCCGAGUGUCGGGUGCGUUCAAGACAAGCAUUAGAGUUGAUUGGACGCAGCCUCCCCGUGUCGGGUGCGUCCAAGACAAGCAGUUUUUGGGUCCAUCCUGCUGCGUGGACGAGAGCUGAAUAUUGUGCUUUGCGCCGUGUGGCUUGCAAUAAGAUGUU
rnacentral:lncRNA from 1 species